rnacentral:lncRNA from 1 species
AACGAACUGAUUCUGUCUGGAAACAAGUUCUCAGGCACCAUACCAGCUAGUGUUGGGAACUGUAUAUCGUUGGUAAAGCUGCUGCUCGAUAACAACUUAUUAGAAGGAAGCAUACCUCAAUCUCUGAAGAACUUAAAAGGUCUUGCAUUACUGAACCUAACAAUGAAUAAGCUAUCUGGUAGUAUUCCUGAUGCCCUUGCUAGCAUUGGCGACCUGCAACAACUGUAUCUUGCACACAACAACUUGUCAGGUUCCAUCCCCAAAGUUCUACAGAAUUUGACAUUGUUGGCAAAACUGGAUUUGUCCUUCAAUGAUUUGCAAGGCGAAGUGCCAAAAAGGGGUCCUUUUGCAAAUGCAACUCACUUGUCAAUUGAUGGAAAUGAUGAGCUUUGUGGUGGAAACCCUCAACUUCACUUAGCUCCGUGCUUCACAGCUGCUGCGGGGAAGAACAGAAGGCGAAUGUCAAGGUCAGUUAUGGUCACCGUAGCGUCAAUCUGCGCACUUCUAUUCUUAGGUUUAGUAGUUUUUCUUAUCCAUUUGAUCCACAAGACGCUCAGACAAGGAAAGGAAAAUCAACUCAUUCCCACAGUAAUUGAUGAACAGCACGAAAGGGUUUCAUAUCAAGCAUUAGCAAAUGGGACUGACCAUUUUUCGGAGGUUAAUCUGCUCGGACAAGGAAGCUAUGGUGCAGUUUAUAAGUGCACUUUACAUGACAAGGGAAUUACCGCAGCUGUAAAGGUAUUCAACGUACGGCAAUCUGGGUCUACUAGAAGUUUUGUGGCUGAAUGUGAGGCACUGCGAAGGGUGCGCCACCGAUGUCUCAUAAAGAUCAUCACCUGUUGCUUAAGCAUUGAUCACCAAGGCCAAGAAUUCAAGGCACUGGUUUUUGAGUUCAUGCCCAAUGGUAACCUAAAUGAUUGGCUGCAUCCAGCAUCCAAAAUACAGAGUCUGAGCAAUACACUCAGCUUAGCUCAGAGACUAGACAUUGCGGUAGAUAUCAUGGAUGCUCUGGAUUAUCUUCACAAUCAGUGUCAACCGCCUAUUAUCCAUUGUGAUCUCAAACCAAGUAACAUCCUCCUUGCCGAAGAUAUGAGUGCUCGGGUUGGAGAUUUCGGCAUAUCAAAAAUCCUUCCUGACGACACUAGCAAAACUCUGCUGAAUUCAGUUAGCUUCACUGGACUAAGAGGUUCCAUCGGAUAUGUCGCUCCAGGUAACAGAAACUAACACUGAUAUUGCUAUGUUCAGUUUUUAACUUCCAUUUUGCCAAGUCCAGUUAUCUCGGCAUGCACGUUGAUAAGUAGCUUGCCAUGAAUCCACUGACCAAAUAGUGUCUGAAAUCUGAAUUGACUGCAGAGUACGGCGAGGGUCGCGCUGUCUCAACUCUUGGAGAUGUUUACAGCCUCGGCAUACUGUUGCUUGAGAUGUUCACCGGGAUGAGCCCUACUGACGACAUGUUCAAAGGCUCCUUGGACCUUCAUAAGUUCGCCGAGGCCGCUCUCCCCGACAGAGCCUUGGAGGUAGCCGACCCGGCAAUCUGGUUUCAUGAAGAAGCAAAGGGCGAAGACCCUGCCACGGUGAGAAGCAGAAGCGAGAGGUGCUUGGCUUCAGUGGUCGGGCUUGGCGUGUCCUGCUCAAAGCAGCUGCCAAGGGAGCGGACGGCGAUGCGGGAUGCUGCCGCUGAGAUGCGUGCGAUCAGAGAUGCCUUCCUGGUUCAAUGUGCAACAGAGACUUGGCCUGCAGUCGGCACCACCGGCCUUGGGAGCGCAGACAGUUGAAUGGUGGACGGAGCUACGGUCUCUUGAUGAACCAAGGAGCACCGGACUAGCAACUCUGCAACUAACAGAGUGGAGAAAGCGCCCCUUAAUGAAAAGAAAAACAGCCGGUGCAAGGCUUUAUAAAAAGAAUGUGACAGCCACUGCGUGUAUCCGAGAGACUUAUCUAAUCUACCGAGGAUUGUUGGGUAGGGAUGCGUAUAGAUUAUGCACGUGCUCCCUCCGUCCCAAAAUAAAUGCACAUCUCGCUUUUCGAGGAGUCAAACUUCUAAGUUUGACUAAAAUUUAUAAAAAAAUGUACUACUAUUUAUAAUGUAUAAUAAAUAUCAUUAGAUUGGGCGUUGGAUAUACUUUCCUAAUAUAUUUAUUUGAAGAUGCAAAUGAUGAUACUAUUUUCUUUAUUCUUAGUCAAACUUAAAAAUGUUUGACUCUUCGAGAAGUGAGAUGUGUGUUUAUUUUGGGAUGGAGGGAGUACCCGUCACGGGGAUUAGUCACGAUAUAAGUAGGGACUAGCAAGCACCAAAAUCCCAUUCACUGCCCUUCGAUCGCUCAAAUAAAACAAACCAUUGCAUAUGGUGGCGAUGCGCUUGCGGGCCUUUUUCCAACCUUUCUGCUGUCGUGGGUCUUGAACUCGCAUGGAACAGUUUUAGUGAAAGCGUGCCCUUCAAUUUUGGGAAGAUUGCGAAGCCUCAUUUACCUGUCCUUAGUGACAAUAAGUUAGGAUCCAAUGAUAAGGACGGAUUGGAAUUCAUCACCAUGCUGGCAAACUGCAGCCAGCUUCAGCAACUGGCUUUUGACAAUAAUUCAUUCAUCGGGGAACUUCCUAGCUCAAUUGCAAAUCUAUCGACAACACACCAAUUACUCUGUAUAGGAAACAAUUGGAUUUCGGGAUUUAUUCCAUCCAGCAUAGGUAAUUUGCUUGGUCUAGAACUGCUUGCGUUGGCAAAUACUUUCAUAUCCGGAGUGAUUCCAGAUAGCAUUGGUCGCCUAGAAGACAUGUCCGUGUUAGGCAUUUACUACGCUAGCUUGUCAGGCAUCAUACCUUCGUCACAAGGAAACCUUACACAGUUGAAAACUCUCUAUGCGUACGAUAGCAACUUCGAGGGUCCAAUUCCAGCAAGUGGGGGAACUUAAAGAAUGUUGUUGUUCUUGAUCUCUCAACGAAAGUGUGUAACCCGCUAAGAUUUCGUGUCGAAGCAAAGCAUAAACCUCUCUUAAGACUGCAAAGCUAUCAUAGAGCAGAUCAGUCUAAGACAAUGUAGAACUUAGUCAAAUUUUAUUUAUAAACAUUCAAGUACAAUUUAUGCAAAGUAAAUUUGAAAAUAAAGUAUACGUAAACAUCUAAGCGCAUAGCUUUAUGAUUUGAGUUGAACUAACCAAAUAUAAUUGAAAAACACAUUUAUAUUUAUAUUAAGUCAAAUUAACAUAUAAUUAUGAAAGCUCGAGAUAUAACUUAUGGAGCCUUUAUUUAGAAAACAAAUUGAAUAAACAUUAAUCAAUUUAAGUUUAAUUAUGAACCACCAUGUUGCAUCUCUCAUUGACUUUUAAUUGAAAGAGUUAUUUAAAUAAGCAUUAACUAAUUUAGCAUUUAUUAUGAAAAGCAGUUAUAACACUAAGUAGCUUUUAAUUAAAGAAGACAUGUUUAACAUGCAUUAAUCAGAUUAAUAUUAAAUUUAUUUUAAAAACAUGCAUGAUGGAAAGAUCAGUACUAACAUGUAAUUUGUGUUAUUACAAACCUAACUCAAUAAGAACAGAUAUAAACGGAGCUGUAACGACCAGUCUAUGGGUUAAACAAGGUUGCAGGGCCUAAUCAUGAUUAACGGAAGGUUAUUGGGGCUAGCAAGGAAGAUUUGCAAGACACUGGAAUAGAGCUCCCCAUUAGGUCAAAGCAUAGGGCGAUUGCGAAAUCAAGAACUCGAAGGUGAUCGCGAGAACACGAAGGACACGAAGGUUUUAGAUAGGUUCGGGCCUCCGGAGAGUAAUACCCUACGUCCUGUAUGCUAGUUUGUAUUGCUUGAGAUUGAUCUGAUUGUUGGGAUACCCUCGGGGGUGCCCUUGGCCGCCUUAUAUAGGCUGACGACCAAGAGUUAAAAGUCAGUUUGAAUCUAAUCUACUCGGUAGUUACAUGGAAAGUAAUCUGAGUUGGACUACAGUACACGUUCCAUGAUAUCCAGGCAGAUUUGAACUGUCUUGUUGCCUUGACUUGCACUCCAAGUAACUUCAUGUCCUCGGCCCGCACGCCCUAGUCGGGCGGGCCCUACUUGUCAGUCCGGCCAGUAUCCUGGUCGGUCGGGGCCCAUGGGGUACCCAUAUCCCUCAAGCCCCCGAGCAUUGUGUAGGUGAAGAGUAACUUGAGGUCACCACAGUGAAACUUGAAAUGAAGUCGGCUGAAGCUACGAAGACAUCAUGGCGACGGAGAGGCUGCACAGUGCUCAAAAGAAGAAAUUCUGAGCAAACGCAGAGCCAACGCGUAGAGCGAAGACGAGUGCCGAGUUGAUGGAUGCUGGCAUUCAGCAGUCGGAGCAAAGGUUAUGGAGGGCCUCGCAAAACGCACUCUGUAGGAGUAGCCCCCGAGCAUUAAAGUGAUUAAGAUAAUCGGUACAAUAGUCAAAGAAGAAAAAGUUAUCCCCUAAAGUAGAUCCUAGUGCUCGAACAUAAGGAUGGGUGAAGCCAUGGAGGCCCGCCAACCAGAAGUAGGCACCCAGACCCAAGAAUGAGGACUAGCGGGACCGUGUAGCCACGUUGACCUGAAAUAGGCGCCCAACCCCUGAGGACGAGGACUAGCGGAGCCACGGAGGCAUGCCGACCUGAAGUAGGCACGCAACCCCUGAGGACGAGAACUGGAGGAGCCAUGAAGACACGCCGACUUGAAAUAGACGCCAAGCCCCUGAGGAUGAGGACCAGUGGCGCCACGGAGGCACGCCAGCCAGAAUUAGGCAUCCAACCCCCGAGGAUGAGCAUGAGGACUGGUGGAAGCACGUCGAGGUGCCUCCCGCCUCGAGCCGAGGCAGAGAGGUCAGUCGGGCGACGGGAGGCACAUGAGUCAUCUAUGGCGCGCAACCGCCGAGCCUGGGAGCCGGACGAGUUGCAGAAGCAUGCCAAGUCGCCUCCCGCGGCGAGCUAGAGAGGUUUGCUGGGCGACGGGAGGCACGCCAAGUCAUCUGCAGUGCCCAGCCCUCAAGCCUUAGGGCCGGCUGAGCCAUAGAAGCAUGCCAAGCCGCCUCCCGCCCCGAGCCAGAGAGGUCGGCCGGGUGACGAGAGGCACGUCGAGUCAUCUGCGGCGCCCAGCCCCCGAGCCUAGGAGCCAGACAAGUCAUAGAAGCAUGCCAAGUUGCCUCCCAUCCCGAGCUAGAGAGGUCGGCCGCGUGACGGGAGGCACGCCGAGUAGUUUUUGAGCUAUAAAAGGACAAUACAAUCAUCAUGUAGCAUAGUGUAGAUCGUUUAAUCAUUGAACAACUCGGAAGUUUAAUUCACUAUAUAAGUAAACUCUUGCGCAUCCUGCUCUUGUAGGCUAAGUAAUUUCCCCAGGUAGUUAGCCUGUUACGUUUAAGCACCUAGCCCUACUGACCACUGCUCACAGAGAUGACGGUUUAUCUCAAGCUAUAGCGCUGGGGCUGACCUGAUGCUUGCAUAUAGGAGACGCGCAGGAUGAGUUAAGGUUUUACGGAUUAAGGCAUGUGCUACCCGAGUACUUUAGCAACUGUUAACAGGGACAGACAAGUUGCAAAGCAGCCGGAACUGUGCGGAAAAGCACCAGCAUGAGCUAGGCACCCAUGGGGUGUAACCCCUGGCCGCCCGUGUAGUGGACGGACCAAGUUGUAUAAACAGUUAGGGUGCGACCAAGGUGGUGGGCAAAAGUCACGGAGACAUAGGAGAGCUGAGGCGGUCGACGAAAGUCACAGGAACAUGGAGGAGCCGAGGCUUAUGUAGGUAUACGGAAGCCAUAAAAUAUUUAAUUGUAAAUAAGACUUAGCUUGAUUCGUGAUCGAGUCGAAGAACCCGCAUGUCGUCUUUGCGUUUAGGCUUAGAAGCCCCUGAGCGUGGUCAGCGGAUAGUUGUUGGUGAAGCAAACUAGUAGGGCUCCAUGCCCGACUAAUUCGUGUCAAGUCCGAGUUGUUGGAGUUGUUAGUGGCAAGUCUGUGGCUGCGAUCGUGGUAUGCUGCUGCCAAGUCGAUGCGGCCAUCGGGUCGUGGCUGGCUGGCCGCCACGCUCGCAAUACAGCAUGCCUGGGUUGUGCUGCCAAACCAAAGGUGCAUGUACAUCUUUCCGAACCUCGUAAGGAAGCCCUCAGGUAUUAAGGAAAUCUAUACCUAAUAUUAAAGUGCGGUUGUUUGUUCCAACCAUUAUGGUUGUUUUGCAAAAAAGUCCCUCAACUUUUUCGUAAUCAGCUCGCAGUCCUUGGAAUAUGUCUUGAUGAUUUUGCAAAAAGGUCCCCAAACUUUACUGCAAUUGGCCGUCGAAGCUCCCGCAGCAUGCACCUACGCCACGUGCGGUGCGGACGAGUGUGCUGGCGGUGGCUGCAAGCUCCUCACCACAGCGGGGACCAGGUCGAGCAGCGACAGCGAUGACGGAGGGGAGUAGUCCGCAUCCGCGUGCCGUGCUUCCAUCGUCGGGCAAGCUGUGGCGGCGGUGGAGAGGGAAAGUGAGUACAUCGGCGUGUGGCAGCAGUCGUGGGGCAGUUUGGCGGCGGAGAUCCAUGACCCGCACCUCGCUGUGCGCAAGUGGCUCAGCACCUUGGACACCAUUGAGGACGCCACACACGUCUAUGAUGUCGCCGCCAUCGAGUUCCGAGGCCACCACGCCAAGCUCAACUUCCCCGACGACAUGGUCCCCGUGCCCGCACCUUCUAGGGUGCCCACCUCUACAUACCACUACCACCACCACCUGCCGCAGCCGCUGCCCAAGAGUCUGCACAAGACCUGCGGGUCGAACGCAUCGUCGUCGGUGCACAUGGCUCCUGGAUGACGGCAGCUUCUUGUCACCCAUGCCAUGAUCGUCACAUUCUCCUCUUGUUUUCACUUUCGUUGCUUAGCGGAUAAUGGUGGUCAGCUGCCCUUUGGUCUGUCGUCAAUCACCAGCCAUCCAUCGCUUUCAUAUGGUUUUACACUAGCUUUUGGGCUUUGACCACACCUCCACACCCAUAAAGUGGAGUGAUGUUGAUCUACUGCCGCUCGCCCUGGCGUGCAACUACUGUCGCUCACCCUAGCACAUGGCUACUCACUCGGGCUGCGUGCCCUACCCGCCACCUGGACCUAAGAGGUGAAGGAGAGAGGAGGAAGGGGGAAGGAAAUAAGGAGCCGAGUGCCUCUUUGCAGUCAACCAAGUAGAUCCAUGUGCCAGCGAAGGCAUGGCGCCAGCAAGGGGGGGGGGGCGCAGCAGCAGUCGGCAGGCAACGCAAAUUGGGGCAGAGGUUGGGACCUCACACCCCCCCUCUCAAUGACGUCCAUCCCCUUAAGAUCCGGAACUAAAGCCUCCACAUCUAGCAAUUGGGGGCUCAAUUUUGCACUUGAUUGAAAUGAUUUGGAGUGGAUUAUGGAAGGGAAGUGGAUGGAAAUGAGAAGAGGAGGAGAACGCACUCCUGCUCAUGGCGGCCAGAGGCGUUGUGGCCUAGCGCUCGAAGCAGGAAUGAGGCUAGGCACAGGAAGGACGAGCGCUUGCCUGGGCGAUGGUGAGGAUGGCAAGAUGCGCAGCGCCUGGAUGACGGCGAAGAUGGGGCUAGAUGCGGGUGGCGCUGAUGGAUGAAGAGGCAUCGACUGGCUAGAUGACGAUGAGUACGGGGGAAAUCGAAUGAAUGGAUGGAGCGGAGGUUGAGCGGUGAUUUUUUUUAUUUCCAUAUGUGGGUCCCACAUAAUAAACAUAUGGCAUCAAAUCACCCAUAAAUAUCUUCUACUACUAUACUGAGACAACGCACCAACAUAUGGUGAACCGAAGCCACCGUAUUACGAACAAGCGAAUAAUAACGUGAGAAUAAGUAAGGACCUGUAGCAACGCACGGACAUUUCUGCUAGUGAGAAAAAAAAUUGUUAUCUACCGCAGUAAGCACCGAGCAACAUAGGAGAUCUACUGGAUGGAAUAGAUUAAAUAAUAAAGGGAAGGGAGAAUUGUUUCCUUUUUUUUCCGUGGCAGAUCCGACAUGUCUGCAUGCAACAAGUUGAGGCCGACGUGUCGUGCUAAAUCAAUUGGAUCGGACUGGGGCUGGAUCAGGCGAGCUUGGCUGUGGCCGGGAUGAGGCCAAUAAGGGCGCCGCCCUUGACCUUGGCCUCCUGCGUCUCGUGGAUCUUCUGCAUCUAGAGCAUCCGCUCCAUGACAAGCUUGUACUGGCACUUCUCUUAGGCGUGGUGCUCAGGCUGGCACUUCCAGGGGAGGUAGAACUCGGAGGUGCACGCACUGGUUGUGGUAGGCGAGCGGCACCUGGGCCACCGCCAUCUCCACCUGCGUGAUGAUCUAGGGCUUCAAGGAGCCGAACUGCACACCGACCGUUGCUGCCGCCUCCAUCUGUCACUUUCUUCCCGUCUCUCUCACCGGCGAGGUCGUUCCAUCGAUAGAUGGGCAUUGCGGGUUUGGUGCGGUGUGGGUAGGUGGGGUGCAGCGAGGACAUGAGGAACCCUCUCGGAGAGAGAGAUUGCCAAUCUACUGGGCAAGUGGCAUGAUGAUCCUUGGAUAGAGAACUUGCUCCUCCGGAGUAAAUCCGACAGAUGCCGAGCUGGCGGCAGGCAUCGAGUCGAAGUCCACCGACAUGCUCCCGAAGCAGAGCUGGAUUGGGUUGGCGAGGAAGUCCUUCAUGCUCUCGGAAAAAACAAUGUCGGGACGGGAUGCCAUCGAGCUCGCUAGGGAGGAUCUCACAAUCAUCCCUACCUGGCAUGCCAACUGUUGGAUUUAUAAGCCUGAUAGUCCACCAGGGGGUUACCCAAGUAGUUGAUUUCUAGGUGAGGGCGAUUGUGAAACCAAGAACUCGAAGGUGAUUGCGAGAACACGAAGGGACACGAAGAUUUUAGAUAGGUUCGGGCCUCCGAAGAGUAAUACCCUACGUCCUGUAUGCUGGUUUGUAUUGCUUGAGAUUGAUAUGAUUGUUGGGAUACUCUUGGGGGUGCCCUUGGCCGCUUUAUAUAGGCUGAUGACCAAGAGUUACAAGUCGGUUUGAAUCUAAUCUACUCGGUAAUUAGAUGGAAAGUAAUCUGAGUCGGACUACAAUACGCGUUCCAUGAUAUCCAGGUAGAUUUGAACUGUCUUGUUGCUUUGACGUGCACUCCAAGUAACUUCAUGUCCUUAGCCCGCACGCCUUAGUCGGGUGGGCCCUAGUUGUUAGGUCUGACCAGUAUCCUGAGGUACCCAUAUCUCUCACCUUGGUGCUCCGGCGAUUAGGGUCAACGGCGAGGAUGGGGAUUGGAAGAGGAGAUCAAGGGGACUUUAUGGAGAUGCUCACCGGUGGUGAGGUGGACGGAUUCCAGCCAGAAUUUGGCUGGCGGUGGAAGAACACGACAGGUUGCUCAGGUCUUCGCGAGUGAUGGUACUCCAGCAGUGGAGCGGCGACGAAGACUAGUGGCAGAGCAGCUCCUCGACAUCAUGGAGCUCCCUAAGGCUCUAGCUUGCUCCAAUGGUCGACGGGCAUAGCGAAUUGGCCAGAGAAGGCUGGUAGCGGCUCCUAGCUUCGGUGGAUGUGGGGGAUGGCGGCGCUUGUGGAGGAUGGCGGUGCUUGUGCAAGCUGGGAAGAGUGGCGGCGCGAGGCAGGGUAGCAGCAGGGGCACUGUCUCGACUUUUAUAGGCGCGUGGGUCCGCGCCUACCUUGGCACGCAUGCUGAGGUUCGGCGGUGGCGACGACCAACUGCAGCUACGCUUGGCCUCAACCCGUUGGUGGCCGAUGGGCCUAGCGGACCUAGCCGAGCCAUCAGCUGGGCUGGGUCGGUGAGGGUCGAGCCGCAAAGACUUGGCCCGAUUGAUUAGGAUUUUCCUUUUUUUUAGAAAUGAUUUCUUGUAAAAGAAAAAUCCAGAAAAAUUCUAUAUAAUUAAUUUAAGCAACGAAAAAACCCUAAAAAUCCAAAAAUUCCAGGAAAAAUCCUAGAGAUAGUUUGGGAAUGAGGAGUACAAAUAAAAUACUUGGAGCUCAUGAAAAGGAUUCUAGAACCUUCCAAAAAUUGGAUUUAGCUCUAGAAAAAAGAGAAUAAAUCUUAGAAAAAUCUUGAAAUUCUCAUAAGAACCUAAUGGGCAUCUAAACGCAUUCCAAAACCUUUGCACUUAUGAAAUACCAAGAUGCAUCGGCAUGAAUGCAACACAUACAUAGAACUAUUAUAUUUAAUUCAGAAAAACACUCAAUUAUUUUCCUAUACUAAAUUUCCUGUCAGGAAAAUAAAUGUUGGAAAAAUUUUAAAAUUAUGAGAAAAUCAUUGUUUAAUUAUUAUUUUUAAUCACAUCCUGAAAUUUCAAAAAUUUUAAGGUGUGACAGAUACCCUCAGGUUUACAGAAUUUGACAUCCAUGUGCAAAUUGGAUCUAUCCUUCAAUGAUUCUUUGGAUUUGCACAGUUUUCAGAUAUUUACUGGAAGGAGCCCAACGGAUGAGAUAUUCAAUGAUUCUUUGGAUUUGCACAGUUUUCAGAGAAUGCUCUUCCAGAGAGAAUAUGGGAUAUAGUUGAUCCGACAAUAUGGAUGCACACAGAUGCCUAUAACAGCACUAUGAGAAGUGGAAUUAAGAAUUGCUUGCUUUCUGUUGUUUCUCUUGGAAUAUCAUGCUCAAAGAAACAACCUAGGGAGCAGAUCCCGAUUCAGGAUGCAGCCAUUGAGAUGCACGCUAUUAGAGAUUCGUAUCUCAAGUUUGCCAGAUCUCUUUUGGUGGAGCAUGGAGUAGUAGCAACAACUCACAGUGAUUUCCCACAACAGUGAAUACAUAGGACUGAAAAUGGGCAAGAUGUCCGCAGGUGAUCAGUUUACCUGAAAUAACUGAAGAUGUAUGAAGCUUCAGCUUUAUAAUUCGUCCAUGCAUUUGUUUGCAUCAGAUAUAUGGAAGUAUAAAAUAAGUUUAGAAAAUGUUUCAAAAUAGAUUAGAUCAAGAGGUUUUUACUUGUCGUCUGUAUGGCACAUUUGUUUAGAGAAUUCAGUAAUAUGUAUGAUUCAUAAUACAAUCAAUGCUCUGCAAAUUUCAGAUAGCACAAUUGGAAUAAAAAGCUCAUUCAUUGAUUAUGUUGCUCUAGGUGACUCAACUUAUUGUGAUGUUCACUGUAGAUUUCUCCAUGGUCCAAACGACCUUUGUGAUCAGUUAUGUUUAUGCAUUUUGUAGACUUGUAAAGUCUUUCCCUAACCUGCUGACAUAUCAGCUGGAGCAGAGCACUCUGCCGUUCUGCGCCACUUGCCUCUAGGCAGCGCUUGCCGCUUGGUGGCUGCCGUGGCGACGGGCGGCAUCCGUAAUUGCUCUAUUGGAGGCUGAGGGGCACAAUUACGUCUUGGAGUCGCCACCGCGCGACCUUCGGAGCUCGCCCAUGCCUCAUCGGUACGAGCUCAGUCCCGCGGUGAAUGGCGCGCGCAUCUGGGGUUCCGUCAGCUGCAGGUGCAGAUGGGUGGAGAGCUUAACAGCACUAGGUCUUCAGAAGAUGUUGGGUGGGCUGGAUGGGGCUUUGCGGCUCUGAAUGGCGAGGCGGGCAGGGACGACGGCGGCAGCGGCAGGCGGCGGCACUGGACGCGUUGGGGUGGAGACGACCCGGACCAGGGAGCAUUUUUGAAAAUAGUCGGAUCGCGAUCCUAAUUAGGAAAUGUGAGAAGGGGUGCACCAAAUAUGGGAUGAGAUGGAGAGGAGCGGAUCAGGCCCAGAUCAGCGAUCAUUUACUAUUAGGGCCCGUUUGUUUGGCAGGAAUUGGGCUGAAUUGGAAUUACUUUCCUAGGCCGACCUGUUUGGCUGCACAUGGAAUUGGAAAUCGUCUUUCCGGUGAUUUUCACGGGCUGAUUUUCUUACUUGCGACACAUUCCGGGCCUAAGACAAAGAAAUCAAUUCCAUCCGACUUGCUUCCCCUCCCGACUCGCCUCCCUUCCCCGACACCGCGCCACCUCCCUCUCCCAACUCCCCUCCAUCCCGACGCCGCACCCCCUCCUCCACCGCCUCCUCCGGCGCCCCCUCCUCACCUCCCCCUGACUCGCCUCACCCCGUGCUGCCGCCGCCCUCGACUCUGACUCCCCGAGCGCUGCGCCGCCGCCUCUCGCGCCGCCGCCCCUCGCGACCACCUUCUCGACGGCGAGAUAAACCUCCUCCAGUUUCCCUCCUCCAUCUCGUUCUCCGGCUCACCCCUUCCUUUUUCUUCCUCACCGGCUCACCCCUUCCCCUUGAACAAUCCGCAGAUCUGCGGGGGAGGUGCCACCGGCAAGCAGGCUGGGAGCAGCUGCAACGGCGGCCGCCCCAUCCACGUCUCUACGGACGGCAUCUUCAACAUUCCGACCACGCGCGUGCUCUCCACUAGCAAAGAAGCUGUACGUCCCAAUCCCUUCUGCCCAUCCCCUUUGCUACUCGAGCCAGCAAAGAAACUACUAGUUAGUUGCAUCAGAUUCUCACUGUCAAAUUGGAAGGCCAUUGCUCUUGCUCCUACUAGUAUACCGCACUUUCCACAAAAUGCGACACACGAAUUUGUUAAUUUUGCCGUAAUUCUGCUAUCAAAUCAAAAGGCCAAUCCUCUUGCUCUAAACAGUUUCUGCAAUUUCGUGCACUAUCGAUUGCUAGUGCUAAUUACAUGGAGGGCCUUUGGUACUUCUCUGCUAAUGCUAAUUAUAUGUGACAUGCUCUGAGAUUCUUCAUACUGUGUGCUGCCAUUAGUUUAAAUUUGGUAGAAGCUGAAAUCUCUUCGUAGAUCAUUAUGUGCUGCCAUUCUGAUAUCCUGUGGAGUUGCAUAUCAACUACUAGUGCUAGCAUUUAGUUUUAUCUGUCACAGCAGUUAAGCAUCAGUCAGCCCUUAUCUAGCAUUUAGUUGGUGCAGCUGUGCAAGUGAUGUUCCUAUUGUUUUUAAUUUUUGUCUUCUGCAGCAUUUUGCAGGCUGUCUAUGUUUCUGCUUAGUUUCGUGAAAUAGUGUAGCAUUUUGAUGAUAAAUUAAAACAUUCCUUUUUGCAUAUGUUUAGAUGCCUGACAGCAACAUAGACUUGGUUAAUACAGGCAUAGAGCAAAUGAGAGAGAGCGUAGGAAGAAGAGAAAAAGAGUGGCUAUUUUAUUUAUUUCUGCUGUCAUGAGCAUGAUUGUGCACUAAUGCGUAAGAGACCUAGGCGUAUCGUUGAUCCGGAUGAAGUGGCUGAGAGAAAUGUUGCUAGUCGGAAACAAAUGCCAAGGAAUCUGUACUAAGGAUCAAAUAUUUUUUGCUAUGACAGUUUGCGCCUAAUUAAGAGAUCAUUUUCUGACCUAUGUGCCAUCUUACGUGAUAGGUGCGGUAUGUGUGAUACUGUCGGUAGAAGAAAAUGUGGCUAUCUUUUUGCUUAUAGUGGGCCAUGGCACUAAGAUGAGGAUGAUUCGUAGCUCAUAUAGGUGGUCGCUCGAGCCAAUCUACCAUCAUUUCAAUGAGGUGUUGAGAGGUGUUCUAUCAUUAUGCCAUGAAUUUAUCAAGCUUCUUGAUCCAUCAGCUGUAGAACCUGAGGAUUCCAAGUGGAAGUGGUUUGAAGAUUGCCUUGGAGCAUUAGAUGGUACACAUAUUGACAUUUUGGUGCCUUUGGCUGACCAAGGGAGGUAUAGGAAUAGGAAGCAACAGAUUACCACCAAUAUUUUGAGGGUUUGUGAUCAUCACAUGAAAUUUAUUUACAUCUUAGCAGGAUGGGAAGGAUCGGCUUUAGAUUCACGUGUGCUACGUGAUGCAAUGUCUCGGGACGAUGCAUUUCUUAUUCCAAGUGGGAAAUACUAUCUUGUAGAUGCUGGAUACACCAAUGGACCGGGCUUUCUUGCUCCAUAUCGAUCCACUCGCUACCACUUGAAUGAGUGGGCUGCUCAAGGGCAUAACCCAUCCACUCCCAAAGAACUAUUCAAUUCGCGCCAUUCAACUGCUAGAAAUGUGAUAGAGAGAACAUUUGGGCUAUUAAAGAUGAGGUGGGCUAUACUAAGAAGCAACUCAUAUUUUAACUUACAAAAUCGGGUAUUCCGUAGUUAGUAACCUAGCUUGAAAUUCACCUCUGAAUGACCCUAGCAUGUAACUCAUUUCUACUAAUUUUUUGCAGAUUAGGAUCAUUAAUGCUUGUUGCAUAUUGCACAACUUUGUAAUUGAUAGACAAAGAGAUAUAGAUGACUUACUUAUAUACACCAAGUUGAUCAAGUAAUAUAUGUUGAACCUCAUGAAGUUCAAAGUGAAGUGGGCAUGAUUAGCAAUGUUCAAUCAUCAAAUGAAUGGAGCAAUUUUAGGGAUACCAAAGCUAACCAAAUGUUUGCUGAUUACCAAGCGAGACGUGGUCAAUGUAUGAUAAAUUCUAUCAUCAAUGCAUGCUCAAAUUUAUGAUAUUUGGUGUUGCUCCUUAAUAUUUUACUGAUAACCUUUGUGAACUUUUUUCUUGUAGAAUAUGGAGAAGGGCAAGAAGUCAGUCUCGAGCAGGGGUUACAUUUGUUGGAAUGACGACAUGAAUAAGGCUCUUCUUGACACAUUUGUGGAGUACUAUAACAAGGGUGACACAUGCCAAAAUGGGUGGAAGUCUCAUGUCUAUACAACUUCUAUCAAGAAUAUCCGAGAAAAGUGUAAUGUGGAUAUCACAAAAGACAACAUCAUGGCAAGGAACAAGACCUUUGACAAACACUACACUAUCAUCAAUGGUAUGUUGGAAUCAAGUGGAUUUGGUUGGGAUUGGAACAAAAAUAAAAUAUCUGUUGAUAGUGAUUCUGUAUGGGAAGAAUAUGUGACGGUAAGUUUCAAAAACCACUGAUUUACUUGCUUAACUUGCUUCUCUUUACAAGCAGUUUUCAUUUUGUUAGACACAAUCACAUAUGAGGUUAUCCUUAUUUUACACAUGGUAUGGUAUGAAUCUACUAGGUGGGCUUGGCAUAUAAUUGAAAGAUUUUUUGUACUCUAUCUAAAGUGGCAAUGAUUGUUUCAUCAAAACUUAUUGUUCCUGAAAACUUAUUGGCAUAUAAUUGAAAGUUUCUAUCUAUUGUUGAAAACAGUGUGUAGUGAAUUAUGUUCGUUACCUGUGUUCCUAAACAAUUAUGUAUGCAUCCUUGUCCCUGUAUGUUUUGUUACUUUUUUUAUUGAUAGUGUGGCAUCUUUAGGUUGUUCUUGAAAUGAAAGUAUACUUUCACUGCACAAGAAUUUAUUGGCCAGAAUAGUGGCUUGUAUUGGUCAGAUCCUAGUCAGCAAGUGCACGUCUCCUACAAGGCUGAGAAUCUUGCGUGAGGAAACUAGAGAGACCACUAGCAUGAACAAUGCCUCUCCAUACUCUGCAAUUUUUGAACUUUAGAUGCACCUGUCUCUUUGCUAGAAUUGCAAAUUAAGUAUGAAACAUGAAUCGACAUCAUUUAGUAUUGUUGUGCAGCACCAUACAAUGGUUUUGUGGUUUUGUGGAUUCUAGAAAAGGAUUCUCACAAAUGAUAGUUGCCAGUUAUACCUUUUGUUGCCAGUUCUACAAAAGGAGCCAUGGAUGUGUUUCAAUUUGUAGAUAUUCAUUGUGCAAAAUGCGACUAGAGCUUCUAGUACAUGUAUUUCUAAUAGUAGAAGCCAUGCAGAAGUUCCUGUAUUUGAACUACAGUAUGUAAACUGAUCUAUAUGUGUCUAAACUGGUCUGUAUGUGAACUACAAUGAUUGUACUUCUAUUUGGGUUCAGUACAUACUUGCUCUACACUUGUUUUCUAACCAAGUACAUUUAUUUUCUGUAGAAAAAUAAAGAAGUUACUGGGUACAGGCACAAGACUGUCUUGUACUGGGACUCAAUUAGCUUGGUGUUUGGCAAAGGCCAUGCUACUGGUGAAGCGGCAAAGACUGUGGCUGAGAGCUCAAAAAAUAUGAGUAAGGAAUAUCUUAGUAACAAAGAACCCACAUCAUCGGCAACUUCAGGAAGUUUAAAGAGGCAACGAUCAGGUGACUCUUUUACCUCUAUGAUAGCUGAAAAAAUGGACAAGUUUGCUGAAGCACUCAAGGAGGAAGCCCUAAAGGCCUAACAUCAAAAGAAAUUCUAGACACACUGAAUGAGGUACAAUGAUUGGAUGAAGACACUUUGUUGGACCUAUUUGAUAUCCUGACCGGUGAUGCACGCAAGUAUGAGUCUCUGUUGGCGCUUCCGGAGAAGAUGAGGAAGAGGUGGCUCCUAAAACAGCUCAAGAAGUGAAAAAAUUAGUUCAUAUAUAAAUUAUACUAUCAAGUGAUGGAUAAUGUCUAUUGAACUUCCAUUGCCUUGUAAUAAUAUGUGGCUUCAACUAUAUGAAAGUUUAGAUACUAUGUCUGUAUUGCUUGCAUUGUCAAGAUAAUAUGUUUAUCAUGAUCUCAUACUAUGUCUGUCAUGAAAGUUUAGAUAAUAUGUGGCUUCAACUUGUCAUGAUUGUAAUCUCCUUUGACAUGUUGCAAGUAAUCAGAUAUGUCUGCCAGGAUUGCAUUGUCAAGUAUGAAUGUAUAUCAGCAUUGUAGGGAGAGAAGCUUAUCUGCUUUUUGGAGAUAAACAUUCAAAUUACUGGUGUAUGACGGGAUGAAAUACUCUAGUGUUCACCUGGUUGGAAGGAUGAGAGGGAGAUGAGAGAGAGAGUUUGGAAGAGAGAGAGGUGAGAGUUCGGAUGAGAGAGAAAGCAGCUUAGAAGGAUGAGAGAGAGAAAGCGGUAUUCAGCUGGAUGGUGGAAAUUUUAUAUAUUACUAAUAAUGCAUCCAAACAAUAUUUGGAAUUUAAUUCUAAGAAAAACUUCCUUUGUACAACCAAAUAAGAAAAUUCAAUUGAAUCAAAUUCUACGGAAUCCAUUUCCUAUGGAAUCUAAUUGCUAGAAUAUGAUUCAUGGAAUGAGUUUCAAUUCUAGGGAAACAAACGGGCCAUGGUCUUCAUUCCCAAGGAAAGCUUGAGGCUCUGCAAUAUUACACAACAAUGAAGUCAAGAGGGUUGAUCCCUGAACCAAGGACCAAGAUACUGGUGAAAGCUAUACAUAUGAAGAAAGAUGGGGCUGUCAUAGAAGAUCAGUCUGCAAAUAUGACAGGGAAGAAUCUAAAACUGGAUCCACGAUCUAGACUAUUCCAUGUUCAUAAAUAGUUUGCUGUCAGAUCUUACUUCUAUGUGUCAAAAGAAUCUCUUCGACCAGUGUCCAGAUCACAAUGGUCACACCUUGGGCUACAAUAAAUCAUCAGCAAAGUGUAUUGGCAUUAUGUAUCCCAGAAAGUUUUGCUCAGACUUUCAAUGCCAGGGUAUGUUUUUUAUGUCUGAUAUGGAUCAAUUGCAGGUACUGUAUUACACGCUCGUAUUAUGAAGGUUAUGUGAAAUAUGACAGAUGUUUGUUUAUUCAUCUGUUAUGCAUGGCUGUGUCUACUGUCUAGUUGUUGGCUUGUUGCCAACAUAUGCAGCAGCAGGUAGCUUCAGCCGCUCAGAAGCCCAAAUGAAGGAUGGCCCAGGCAGAAUAGCUAUGUCCAGACCCAGAAAGCUUAGGACAUGUCUUGCCAGCCUGCAGUUUUGUACUCGUAGCACCAACCAUCUCCGGGUUCUGGCCGGUUAUAUACAUGGUCUGGAAUGGGCAUCCGCUGAUCGAUUGAAACCUUGAGUUGCUUCCGUGUGUCUUUUGCCAUCUAUAUAUUAUGGUUAGUCAACGGCAUGCAGUACACCCAUGCAUAUGAUUGCAGUAGGAUGACAUGGCGUGACCAGAACCCUUCUUUUGCCAGUUUUAGAUUCUUAUACACGGCCAACUGACGCAGCAGGGAGUUGCAUGCUAAGCAGUUCAGCGUAGGUGGUGAGUUCUCAACUCUGAUAUGGCUUAUGGAAGAACACUGUCACGGUGUCACCUAGCCGGUUGGAGGCCAACCUCUUACUAGGGACAGCAAUGGCCCUGUCCGGCCACUGUUUCGUGGCUGGUAUUAUUACCCCUAUGCAGUGAAUAUGACAUGUGGAUCUAUGUGUAUAUUAUGUCGUCAAAAGAACAUUAUAUGAACCGUUGAUCCACCUUUGAUUCUAUUAAUGUGUCAUGGUCAAUUGAUGUCAAACUCUAUUAUCUUCAAGUCUUACUGUAUUGAUAAAAUCACGAUGCUGCUACUGCCAUUUUGAUGUUUAUAAAAGGGUAUUGAGAACCUGGUGGGUAUCCAUUCGAUGCGCAGGGUUGGGGGUGGGGAAAAAUGAGUGUAAAGGACAGGGAUGCAGUAUUUAGAAAGAUGAGGCUGGCACAGAAAAUAGUCUCCAAGUAUGGCAGGGAAGAAUCUAAAACUGAAUCCUUGAUCAAGACUGUCCCAUAUUCAUAAAUAGUUCACUGACAGAUCUUGCUUCCAUAUUCUGAACAGCUGAUGCUGGGCACAUAGGAGGUUAACCGGUCAGCGGAUCAAAGAAAAUCCACAAUGGCCUCAUCUUGGGUUAGAGACAAUCAUCGGUAAAGAAUCAUAUUGCCGGAUAAGGAUAUCUGUGAUUGGUGGGUGCAGAUCCAUGCUCAUUCAAGAAACACAUGAUUCUUUACGGAUGAUCAUCUCUCAGCACACCCUGCUGAUAAGGUUAUCUGAGAUUGGUGGGUGCAGAUCCUAGAAACAAGCUAGGGCUGAAUGCGCCGCUGUACUUGGAUGUUGUGGUGACACCGUAAUGAUUGUGUGUUUAAUGGAGUUUUCCAUAGUGACUAGCGUGCAGGCCGUCCUCGUAUUUGAGAAAAAAAUCAAUGGGCGAAAUAUUUUCACCCAGGUAAUUGUUGCAUUGUAUGAAUAGGCUUAGAUACCUGGUUAAAGUAUGGUGCGUGUACUGUGACACAAGAAGAUUUAUCAUAUCUAUCUAUGAAUUAGUGUUAAAACUCCUACAUAAAUAUCUUCUCUUAUCUCACUUUAUGUAUAUAUAUGACACAGAAGCACAUGUAUAUCGGCAUUGUAGAGAUAGAGAUGAGAGAGAAGCUUAUCUGCUUUUUGGAGAUAAAUAUUCAAAUUACUAGUGUAUGAGAGGGAUAGAAUUAUUCUAUCAUAUUGUUUAUUCAACAUCUAAAAAGAUUCCAUGUUUAGUCAUCUAUAUCGGCGUUGUAGAGAGAGAGACUAGUGUUCAUCUGGUUGGAAGGAUGAGAGAGAGAGGAGAGAGUUUGGAUGAGAUAGAGAGAUAGUGUUCAGCUGGUUGGAAGGAUGAGAGAGAGAGAGAGGAGAGUUUGGAUGAUAGAGAGAUUAGUGUUCACUUGGUUGGAAGGAUGAGAGGGAGAUGAGAGAGUUCGGAUGAGGAGGUAGAGAGUUCGGAAGAGAGAGAGAGGUGAGAGUUCGGAUGAGAGGUGUGAGAGAGGUGAGAGUUCGGAUGAGAGAUAAAAUAGCUUAUAAGGAUGAGAGAGAGAGAAAGCGGUAUUCAGCUGGAUGGUGGAGACUUCAUAUAUUACUAAUAAUGCAUCCAAACAACAUUUGAAAUUUAAUUCUAAGAAAAACUUUCUCGGUAAAUCAAAACAAGAAAAUUCAAUUGAAUCAAAUUCUACGGAAUCCAUUUCCUACGAAAUCUAAUUGCUAGAAUAUGAUUCAUGGAAUGAGUUCCAAUUCUAGAGAUCCAAACGGGCCCUAAGAGAAUUGUAGUGAUCAACUCCCAAGUUGCAAUAUAUUCUAGGAAAUAGGUGGUUAUGAGGAUGAUACCUGCAGACAAUACUUUUUAUCCCUCAAUUCUUACAGAGAAUUGCACUAUCAACUGCAUUUUCAUUUGUGCCACGCUGCUCAGCUAUAAAAAACGGGGCAAAUCGACCAAAAUAAAUGAAUAAACCACAUGGUUUAGACUGGUGGCAUAUGUAUGUCUGAUGAGUUUAGAAUCCCAACAGACCUCUGUUUGCUUAUCCAACAGGAGGGAAAAAGUUUACUUACUAAAUCAGCUUUGCAUGUCAGGCUGCAAUUGUUAGAGAGUAGAAUUGGGUAAUUUGUGAACAUAAUUGAAUCAAAGUUUUGUCUCAGACUAGUAAUAGAAAAUGGUGAUGCUCCAUAGCUAGAACAACACGUUCCUACACUAGUUUAAAAAAUCCCCUGAAAUUGGGAACAAUGGUAAAGCCCAAACCAUACUUGGAACUUGGAAGGCCGCUGGCGGAUGUCAAAGUCAAAAACAGAAGCAGACAACGACGUCUCACCAGAUCACGAAUCAGAUGCGAUGCAUAUACAUGUUGCAGGCAUUAGCACGCAUCCCUUAGGAUUAAACAAUUCAGCAAGUAGCUCCCCUGCUGACCAAGAAAAGCAAGCUCUGUCUCGCAGCAAGCUCUUCAAUACGCUCCAGCCCAGCUCUACCAUGGCAUUUGCAAUGCGCGUCAUGAGCUUGCUUCCUGCCACCAUCGCCGUGAUGAUCGCAGCGGCCUCCUGGGGAGCGCACGGCGGUGCCAGCGACGAGGCCAGCGCGCUGCUUGCUUUCAAGGCUGAGCUCGCCGGCAGCGGCUCCGGCAUGCUUGCAUCCUGGAAUGGCACCGCUGGCGUCUGCAGCUGGGAGGGCGUGGCGUGCACCAGCGGCCAGGUGGUGGCACUGAGCCUGCCCUCUUAUGGGUUCGCCGGAGCCCUCUCCCCGGCCAUUGGGAACCUCACUUUCCUGCGGACCCUGAACCUGAGUUCCAACUGGUUCCAGGGGGAGGUCCCAGCAAGCAUCGGCCGCCUAGCGCGUCUGCAGACGCUUGAUCUGAGCUACAAUGCGUUCUCUGGUACGCUUCCUUCCAACCUCAGUUCCUGUGUCAGCUUACUGCUGUUAGAUCUCAGCAGUAACCGGUUCCAUGGGCGUAUCCCUGUUGAGCUUGGAGACAAGCUAACAAGUCUUCAGAAGUUCUCACUGGGCAACAACAGCUUGACGGGUGCCAUGCCAGGAUUACUAGGUAACCUGUCAUCCCUGAACUACCUUGAUCUGAGAAAAAACCACCUCGAGGGUCCGAUCCCACAUGAACUCGGCAGCAUGGGCGGCCUGCAGGUCCUUUUACUCCAUGACAACAGACUCUCCGGUGUGCUUCCACACUCCCUGUACAAUCUGUCCUCACUGAAAAAGUUGGGGGUAGGAGACAACAUGCUGUCUGGAACCAUCCCUGCUGAUAUCGGCGAUAGGUUCCCCGGUAUGGAAGCUCUUGACUUUUCUAGCAACCGAUUCAGUGGAGCUAUCCCACCUUCGCUCGGCAACCUCUCUGCUCUCACAAAACUAAUCCUUCAAGAAAAUGGUUUUAUUGGAUAUGUGCCUUCUGCUUUGGGAAAGUUGCAAAGUCUUACUGCCCUUUUCUUGGGUGUUAACAGGCUAGGAGCAAACGACAGUCAAGGGUGGGAAUUCAUCACUUCACUGGCAAACUGCUCCCAGCUUCAGGUUCUUGUUCUCGGCAACAACUCUUUCAGCGGGCAACUGCCUAAUUCAGUCACAAACCUGUCAUCAACUCUGCAAGGUCUUUAUUUGGGAGACAAUAUGAUUUCUGGGAAUAUUCCAAUAAACAUCGGAAAUUUGGUUGGUCUUACAGUAUUUGUGAUGGGAAAUACUUCUGUAUCUGGACAGAUUCCAGAGAGCAUUGGUCAGCUAAGAAACUUGGGUGUGUUAGGCCUUUACAACACUAGCUUGUCAGGCCUCAUACCUUCGUCACUAGGAAAUCUUACACAGUUGAAUAGGCUUUAUGCAUACUAUGGAAACUUAGAGGGGCCAAUUCCAUCAAACUUGGGGAACUUAAAGAAUGUGUUUGUCUUUGAUCUCUCAACAAAUCGACUCAAUGGUUCAAUUCCUAUAGAGGUUUUAAAACUUCCUCAACUUUCAUGGUACUUAGACUUAUCAUAUAAUUCAUUAUCCGGGCCACUUCCAAUUGAGGUUGGUACCAUGGUGAAUCUUAACGAACUGAUUCUGUCUGGAAACAAGUUGUCAGGCACCAUACCAGCUAGUGUUGGGAACUGUAUAUCGUUGGUACGGCUGCUGCUCGAUAACAACUUAUUAGAAGGAAGCAUACCUCAAUCUCUGAAGAACAUAAAAGGUCUUGCAUUACUGAACCUAACAAUGAAUAAGCUAUCUGGUAGUAUUCCUGAUGCCCUUGCUAGCAUUGGCCACCUGCAACAACUGUAUCUUGCACACAACAACUUGUCAGGUUCCAUCCCCAAAGUUCUACAGAAUUUGACAUUGUUGGCAAAACUGGAUUUGUCCUUCAAUGAUCUGCAAGGCGAAGUGCCAAAAGGGGGUCCUUUUGCAAAUGCAACUCACUUGUCAAUUGAUGGAAAUGAUGAGCUUUGUGGCGGAAACCCUCAACUUCAUUUAGCUCCGUGCUCCACAGCAGCUGCGGGGAAGAACAGAAGGCGAAUGUCAAGAUCACUUAUGGUCACCGUAGCGUCAAUCUGCGCACUUCUAUUCUUAGGUUUAGUAGUUUGUCUUAUCCAUUUGAUCCACAAGAGGCUCAGACAAGGAAAGGAAAAUCAACUCAUUCCCACAGCAAUUGAUGAACAGCACGAAAGGGUUUCAUAUCAAGCAUUAGCAAAUGGGACUGACCAUUUUUCGCAGGUUAAUCUGCUCGGACAAGGAAGCUAUGGUGCAGUUUAUAAGUGCACUUUACAAGACAAGGGAAUUACCGCAGCUGUAAAGGUAUUCAACGUGUGGCAAUCUGGGUCUACUAGAAGUUUUGUGGCUGAAUGUGAGGCACUGCGAAGGGUGCGCCACCGAUGUCUCAUAAAGAUCAUCACCUGUUGCUUAAGCAUUGAUCACCAAGGCCAAGAAUUCAAGGCACUGGUUUUUGAGUUCAUGCCCAAUGGUAACCUAAAUGGUUGGCUGCAUCCAGCAUCCAAAAUACAGAGUCUGAGCAAUACGCUCAGCUUAGCUCAGAGACUGGACAUUGCGGUAGAUAUCAUGGAUGCUUUGGAUUAUCUUCACAAUCAGUGUCAACCGCCUAUUAUCCAUUGUGAUCUCAAACCAAGUAACAUCCUCCUUGCCGAAAGUAUGAGUGCUCGGGUUGGAGAUUUCGGCAUAUCAAAAAUCCUUCCUGAUGACACUAGCAAAACUAUGCUGAAUUCGGUUAGCUUCACUGGACUAAGAGGUUCCAUUGGAUACGUCGCUCCAGGUAACAGAAACUAACACUGAUAUUGCUAUGUUCAGUUUUUAACUUCCAUUUUGCCAAGUCCAGUUAUCUCGGCAUGAAUCGUUCGUAAGUAGCUUGCCAUGAAUCCACUGACCAAAUAGUUUCUGAAAUCUGAAUUGACUGCAGAGUACGGCGAGGGUCGCGCCGUCUCAACUCUUGGAGAUGUUUACAGCCUCGGCAUACUGUUGCUUGAGAUGUUCACCGGGAUGAGCCCUACUGACGACAUGUUCAAAGGCUCCUUGGACCUUCAUAAGUUCGCCGAGGCCGCUCUCCCCGACAGAGCCUUGAAGGUAGCCGACCCGGCAAUCUGGCUUCAUGAAGAAGCAAAGGGGGAAGACCCGGCCACGGUGAGAAGCAGAAGCGAGAGGUGCUUGGCUUCAGUGGUCGGGCUUGGCGUGUCCUGCUCAAAGCAGCUGCCAAGGGAGCGGACGGCGAUGCGGGAUGCUGCCGCUGAGAUGCGUGCGAUCAGAGAUGCCUUCCUGGUUCAAUGUGCAACAGAGACUUGGCCUGCAGUCGGCACCAGCGGCCUUGGAAGCACAGACACUUGAAUGGUGGACGGAGCUACGGUCUCUUGACGCACCAAGGAGCCACCGGACUAGCUGCUCUGCAACUAACAGGGUGGAGAAAGCGCCCCUUAAUGAAAAGAAAAACAGCCGGUGCAAGGCUUUAUACAAAGAAUGUGACAGCCACUGCGUGUAUCCGAGAGCCUUAUCUAAUCUACCGAGGAUUGUUAUGUAUGGAUGCGUAUAGAUUAUGCACGGACUCCUCCGUCCCAAAAUAAACGCACAUCUUGCUUCUUGAGGAGUCAAACUUCUAAGUUUGACUAAAAUUUAUAAAAAAAAUGUACUACUAUUUAUAAUGUAUAAUAAAUAUCAUUAGAUUGAGCAUUGGGUAUACUUUCUUAAUACAUUUAUUUGAAGAUGUAAAUGUUGAUACUAUUUUUUAUAUUCUUAGUCAAAUUUAAAAAUAUUUGACUCAUCGAGAAGCGAGAUGUGUGUUUAUUUUGGGACGAAAGGAGUACCCGUCACCGGGAUUAGUCAUGAUAUAAGAUUAGUCACGAUAUAAGUAGGGAUUAGCAAGCACCAAAACCCCAUUCACUGCCCAUCGAUCGCUCAAAUAAAAGAAACCAUUGCAUAUGGUGGCGAUGCGCUCGCGGGCCUUUCUCCAACCUUUCUGCUCUCGCGGGUCUUGAACUUGCAUGGAACAGUUUUAGUAAAGCUGCCUCCAACUUUAGGGAGAUUGCCAAGGUUCAUUUACCUGUCCUUAAGUGGCAAUAAGUUAGGAUCGAAUGAUAAGGACGGAUUGGAAUUCAUCACCAUGCUGGCAAACUUCAGCCAGCUUCAUCAACUGGCUUUUGACAAUAAUUCAUUCAUCGGCGAACUUCCUAGCUCAAUUGCAAAUCUAUCGACAACACACCAAUUACUCUAUAUACGAUACAAUUGGAUUUCGGGAUUUAUUCCAUCCAGCAUAGGUAAUUUGCUUGGUCUAGAACUGCUUACGUUGGCAAAUACUUUCAUAUCCGGAAUGAUUGUAGAUAGCAUUGGUCGCCUAGAAGACAUGUCCGUGUUAGGCAUUUACUACGCUAGCUUGUCAGGUAUCAUACCUUCAUCACAAGGAAAGCUUACACAGUUGAAAACUCUCUAUGCGUACGAUAGCAACUUGGAGGGUUCAUUUCCAGCAAGCUGGGGGAACUUAAAGAAUCUUUUUGUUCUUAAUCUCUCAACGAAAGUGCGUAACCCGCUAAAGUUUCAUGUCAAAGCAGAGCAUAAAUCUCUCUCAAAACUGCAAAACUAUCAUAAAGCAGAUCAGUCUGAGGGCUAGCCUAUGCCCUAUCAACGCCUCCCUUCUUGCCCUUUUGGUAAGAUUACCCCAAACUAGAGUCUAUAAUUAAUUAGCUAAGACUAGAGCCACGUAGUUCUUGUGGUUGUACUGUUUUCCUGAGUGGUCGCUCCAUGUUCCAAUUAAGCAUGAUGAUCUUGUAUUAAUAAAAGGUAUAUCAUAAAUAAAACAAGUUUAAUCAUUGAGUUCAUUAAAACCAUCACAAUCCAAGGUAUUGCAACUAAGCAUAUCUACCUUAAAAAAAGGUAAAACCCAGGUUGACAAGGAAUGAUCAUAAAAACUAGGUAAACCUUAAUAGGACCUAUCAAUAUUAAAUGUAGAGCAAUGCAAAAGUGAUUAAAUAUAGUUUUUGGGAUAAAAGUAUAAGGACACACGUGCCUUUCUCCAAAGAAUAGCUGCUCAGAUUAUCUUCCGCUCUUGUUCCUCAAAGCUCUCGAACAAUGUUCCUUCUACUUGCAUCAAUCAUCGGCACAAGCAUACCAAGCAAACAACAAUCACAACUAAGAACAAUACAUCAAUCAUUGGAAAGCUUUAAAAGAGCGUACUAAAGGAUAAGGCUUGAAUCUAAGGUCACGCGAAUGCAAGAAACGCUGGGAACAAAACUAUGGUUGAAAAGACAAAGUUAUCGAGAGAUUUGAAUUAUAAAAGAAAGAGAAAAGCAUAUGUGCUUCAUAUAUUUUAAUAAAACAAUGUAAAGAUAUUUUAGAGAAACAUCCUUAGCAUGUUAUAGUUAUGUAUGAAAAGACAAUGUAGAACUUAGUCAAAUUUUAUUAUAAACAUUCAAGUACAAUUUAUGCAAAUUAAAAAUUUAAUUUGAAAAUAAAGUAUAUGUAAACAUCUAAGCGCAUAGCUUUAUGAUUUAGGUUGAACUAACCAAAUAUAAUUAAAAACACAUUUAUAUUUAUAUUAAAUCAAAUUAACAUAUAAUUAUGAAAACUCGAGAUAUAAAUUAUGUAGCUUUUAUUUAGAAAACAAAUUGAAUAAACAUUUUAAUUAAAGAAGACAUGUUUAACAUGCAUUAAUUAGAUUAAUAUUAAAUUUAUUUUAAAAACAUGCAUGAUGGAAAGAUCGGCACUAACGUGUAAUUUGUGAUUCAGGUUGAACUAACCAAAUAUAAUUCAAAAACACAUUUAUAUUUAUAUUAGUCAAAUUAACAUAUAAUUAUGAAAACCCAAGAUGUAACUUAUGUAGCUUUUAUUUAGAAAACAAAUUGAAUAAACAUUAAUCAAUUUAAGUUUAAUUAUGAACCACCGUGGUGCAUCUCUAAUUCGCUUUUAAUUGAAAGAGUUAUUUAAAUAAGCAUUAAUAACUAAAUUAACAUUUAUUAUGAAAAGCGGUUAUAACACUAAGUAGCUUUUAAUUAAGGAAGACAUGUUUAACAUGCAUUAAUUAGAUUAAUAUUAAAUUUAUUUUAAAACAUGCAUGAUGGAAAGAUCACUACUAACAUGUCCUAAGAAUGGAUAUAAACGGAGCUGUAAUGAGGAGUCCAUGGGUUAAACAAGGUUGCAGGGCCUAAUCGCGAUUAACGGAAGGUUAUUGGGGCUAGCAAGGAAGAUUUGCAAGACACUGGAAUAGAGCUCACCAUUAGGUCAAAGCAUAGGGUUAGAUAUGUUAAAGUGCUCAGGUUAGACUUGGUUGCACGGAUCCAAUCUAAUCAGGGACAUGGAUGAAAAAAAACAAGACACAAGGAAAAACUAACUAUUUGUAGAGCUUUAUAGGGGCCUAUGCGCAAAAGCACCACAGCUCAGCAUCCAUGGUGGACGGGCUCCUGGAUGGCAAAACCCUCGUGUCAGAUUUAUAAGCCUGGUAGUCCACCAAGGGAUUCCCCAAGUGGUUGAUUUGUAGAUGAGGGUGAUUGUGAAACCAAGAACUCGAAGGUGGUCGCGAGAACACGAAGGGACACUUAGACAAGUUCGGACCUUCGGAGAGUAAUACCCUACGUCCUAUAUGCUGGUUUGUAUUGCUUGAGAUUGAUCUAAUUGUUGCGAUACCCUCGGGGGUGCCCUUGGCCGCCUUAUAUAGGCUGACGAUCAAGAGUUAAAAGUCGGUUUGAAUCUAAUCUACUCGGUAGUUACAUGGAAAGUAAUCUGAGUUGGACUACAAUAUGUGUUCCAUGAUAUCUGGGCAGAUUUGAACUAUCUUAUUGCCUUGACUUGCACUCCAAGUAACUUUAUGUCCUCGGCCCGCACGCUCUGAUCGGGCAGGCCCUACUUGUUAGUCCGACCAGUAUCCUGGCCGGUCAGGGCCCAUGGGGUACCCAUAUCCCUUAAGGCCCCAAGCAUUGUGUAGGCAAACAGGAACUUGAUGUCAUCAAAGUGAAACUUGGAAUGAAAUCGGGUGAAGCUGACGAAGAGCCAACGCGUAGAGCGAGGAUGAGUGCCGAGUUGAUGGAUGCUGGCAUCCAGCAGGUCGAAGCGAAGGUUACGGAGGGCGUCGCAAGACGCACUCUGUAGGAGUAGCCCCGGAGCAUUGAAACAAUUAAGAUAAUCAAUACAAUGGUCAAAGAGGAAAAAAUUGUCCCCUGAAGUAGAUCCUUGUGCCCGAACACAAGGAUGGACGCAGCCACGGAGGCCCGCCAACCAGAAGUAGGCACCUAGACUCAAGGACGAGGACUGGUGGGACUGUGGAGCCAUGCCGACCUGAAAUAGGCAUCUAACCCCUGAGGACGAGGACUAGCAGAGCCGCAGAGGCAUGCUAACCUGAAAUAGGUGCCUAGCCCCCGAGGAUGAGGACUGGCGGAGCCAUGAAGGCACGCCGACUUGAAAUAGGUGCCAAGCCCCCAAGGACGAGGACCAGCAGAGCCACGAAGGCACUCUGACCAGAAUUAGGCGUCCAGCCCCCGGGCAUGAGUGCGAGGAUUGGCGGAAGCACAUCGAGUUGCCUCCCUUCCCGGGCUCAGGCAGAGAGGUUGGUCGGGUGACGAGAGGCACACCAAGUCAUCAAUGGUGCCCAGCCGCCGAGCCUAGGAGCCGGACGAGUUGCAAAAGCAUGGCAAGUCACCUCCCGCCCCGAGCCAGAGAGGUCGGCUGGGCGACGGGAGGCACGCCGAGUCAUCUACGGUGCCCAGCCCCCGAGCCUUGGAGCCGGCUGAGCCACAGAAGCACGCCAAGCCGCCUCCCGCCCUGAGCUAGAGAGGUCGUUUGGGUGACAAGAUGCACGCCGAGUCGUCUGCGGCGCCUAGCCCUCGAGCUUGGGAGCCAGACGAGCCACAGAAGCAUGCCAAGUCGCCUCCUGUCCCGUGCUAGAGAGGUCAGCCGGGUGAUGGGAGGCACGUCGAGUAGUUUUUGAGCUAUAAAAGAACAAUACAAUCAUUAUGUAGCAUAAUGUAGAUCAUUUAAUCAUUGAACAACUCGGAAGUUUAAUUCGCUGUAGAAGUAAACUCUUGCGCAUCCUGCUCUUAUAGGCCAAGUAAUUUCCCUAGGUAGUUAUCUUGUUACGUUUAAGCACCUAGCCCUACUGACCACUGUUCACGGAGAGGAUGGUUUAUCUUAGGCUAUAGUGCUGGGGCUGACCCGAUGCUCGCAUAUAGGAACGCGCAGGAUGAGUCAAGGUUUCACGGAUUAAGGCGUGUGCUACCCGAGUACUUUAGCAACCGUUAACAGGGAUGGACAAGUCGCAAAGCAACCGGAACUGUGCGGAAAAGCACCAGCAUGAGUUGGGCACCCAUGGGGUGUAGCCCCCGGCCGCCCGUGUAGUGGACGGAACAAAAGUCACGACAACAUGGAGGAGCCGAGGCUUAUGUAGGUAUAUGGAAGCUGUAAAAUAUUUUAUUGUAAAUAAUACUUAGCUUGAUUCGUGGUCGAGUCAAAGAACCCGCGUGUCAUCUUCGCGUUUAGUCUUAGAAGCCCCUGAGCGUGGUCGGCGGACAGUUGUUGGUGAAGCAAACUAGUCGGGCUCCAUGCCCAACUAAUUCGUGUCGAGUUCGAGUUGUUGGAGUUGUCAGCGGCAGGUUUGUGGUUGCGAUUGUGGUAUGCUGUUGCCAAGUCGAUGUGGCCAUCGGGUCGUGUCCGGCUGGCCGCUACGCUCACAGUACAGCAUGUCUGGGUUGUGCUGCCAAACCAAGGGUGCAUGUACAUCUUUUCGAACCUUGCAAGGAAGCCCUCACGUAUUAAGGAAAUCUAUACCUAAUAUUAAAGCUCCCGCAGCGUGCGCCUAUGCCACGUGUGGUGUGGACGGGUGUGCCGGCUGCGGCUGCGAGCUCCUCACUGCGGCAGGGACCAGGUCGAGCAGCGACAGUGAUGACGAAGGGGAGUAGUCCGCGUCUGCGUGCCAUGCCACCAUCGCCGGGCAAGGUGUGGCAGCGGCGGAGGGGGAGAGUGAGUACAUCGGCGUGCAGCGGCGGCCGUGGGGUAGGUGGGCGGCGGAGAUCCGCGACCCGCACUACGCCGUGCGCAAGUGGCUCGGCACCUUUGACACAGCUAAGGAUGCCACGCGCACCUACAACAUCACCGAUGUCGAGUUUUGAGGCCACUGCACCAAGAUCAACUUCCCCGACAACACGGCCCCCGCGCCCGCACCUUCCUGGGUGCCAAACUCGACAUACCACCACCACGACCACUUGCCGCUGCCGCUGCCCGAGAGCCUACACGAGACCUGCGGGGCGAACGCAUCCUCGUCGAUGGAUGUGGCUCUUGCGGUAGCGGCGUCGGCCGAGCAGCACGGCACGAGGCCGGUGCCGAAGGAGCAGGACAUCUGGGACAGGCUGAACGAGUUCAUGAUGAUGGAUGACGGUAGCUUUUGGUCACCCAUGCUAUGAUCAUCACAUUCUCCUCCAUUCUCCUCUUGUUUUCACUUUCGUUGCUUAGCGGAUAAUGGUGGUCAGCUGGCCUCUGGUCUGUCGUCAAUCGCCAGCCAUCCAUCGCUUUUAUAUGGUUUUGCACUAGCUUUUGGGCUUUGACCACACCCUCCACACCCAUACGAAAUGACUAGGUAGAGUGAUGUUGAUAUACUGCUUGCCGCGCGCUAGGGCGAGCAGCUACUCACUCGGGCUAGAUGCCCUACCCGCCACCUGGACCUAAGAGGUGAAGGAGAGAGGAGGGAGGGGGAAGGAAACAAGGAGCCGAGUGCCUCUUUGCAGUCAACCAAGUAGAGCCAUAUGCCAGCGAAGGCAUGGCGCCAGCGAGGGGGGGGGGCGCAGCGGCAGUCGGUAGGCAACACAAACAGGGGGCGGAGGUCGGGACCUCACAUCCCCCUCUCAAUGAUGUCCAUCCCCUUCAUAUCCAGAACUAAAGCCUCCACAUCUAGCAAUUGGGGGCUCGAUUUUGCACUUGAUUGGAACGAUUUGGAGUGGAUUAUAGAAGGGAAGUGGAUGGAAACGAGAAGAAGAGGAAAACACACUCCUGCUCAUGGCGGCCAGAGGCGCGGUGGCCUAGGUCUCGAAGCAGGAAUGAGGCUAGGCACGGGAAGGACGAGCGUUUGCCUAGGCGACGGUGAGGAUGGCAAGAUGCGUAGCGCCUGGAUGAUGGCGAAGAUAGGGCAUGAUGCGGGUGGCGCCGACGGACGAAGUGGCAUCGACUAGCUAGAUGACGAUGAGUACGGGGGAAAUCGAAUGAAUGGAUAGAGCGGAGGUUGAGCGGUGAUUUUUUUUUAUUUCCAUGUGUGGGUCCCAUGUAAUAAACAGAUGGCAUCAAACCACCCACAAAUAUCUUCUACUACUGUACUGGGAUAACGCAUCAACAUAUGGUGAAGCGAAAUCAACAUAUUAGGAACAAGCAAAUAAUAAUGUGAGAGUAAGUAAGGACUUGUAGCAACGUACAUGUAUUUCUGCUAGUAAGAAAAAAAAUUGUUAGCUGCCGUAGUAAGCACCAAGCAACGUAGGAGAUCUACUGGAUGGAAUAGAUUAAAUAAUAAAGGGAAGGGAGAAUUGUUCCUUUUUUUUGGCAGAUCCGACGUGUCUGCAUGCAACAAGUUGAGGUCGACGUGUUGUGCUAAAUCAACCGGAUCAGACUGGGGCCGGAUCAGGCGAGCUUGGCUGUGGCCGGGAUGAGGCCAAUAAGGGCGUCGCCCUUGACCUUGGCCUCCUGUGCCUCGCGGAUCUUCUACAUCUGGAGCAUCUGCUCCAUGAUGAGCUCGUAGUGGCACUUCUUGUAGGCGUGGCGCUCGGGCUCGCACUUCCAGCGGAGGUAGAACUCGGAGGUGCACGCACUGGUCGUGGUAGGCGAGCGGCACCAAGGCCUCCGCCAUCUCCACCUGCGUGAUGAUCUGGGGCUUCGUGGAGUCGAACUGAAUGCCGGCCAUUGCCGCCGCCUCCAUCUGUCACUUUCUUGCCCUCUCUCUUGCCGGCGAGGUCGUUCCGUUGAUAGAUGGGUGCUGCGGGUUUGGUGCGGCGUGGGUGGGUGGUGUGCAGCAAGGACGUGAGGAACCCUCUCGGAGAGAGAGAUUGCUUACCUACUAGGUAAACGGUGUGAUGAUCCUUUGAUAUAGACCUUGCUCCGCCGGAGUAAAUUCGACAGAUGCCAAGCUGGCGGCGGGCAUUGAGUCGAAGUCCACCGGCAUGCUCCUGAAGUGGAGCUGGAUCGGAUUGGCGAGGAAGUCCUUCAUGCUCUUGGGGAAAACAAUGUCGGGGCGGGAUGCCAUCGAGCUCGCUAGGGAGGAUCUUACAAUCAUCCCUACCUAGCGCGCCAACUGUUGGAUUUAUAAGCCCGGUAGUCCACCAGGGGGUUACCCAAGUAGUUGAUUUGUAGGUGAGGGCAAUUGCAAAAUCAAGAACUCGAAGGUGAUCGCGAAAACACGAAGGGACACGAAGGUUUUAGAUAGGUUCGGGCCUCCGGAGAGUAAUACCCUAUGUCCUGUAUGCUGAUUUGUAUUGCUUGAGAUUGAUAUGAUUGUUGGGAUACCCUCGGGGGUGCCCUUGGCCGCUUUAUAUAGGCUGACGACCAAGAGUUACAAGUCGGUUUGAAUCUAAUCUACUCGGUAGUUACAUGGAAAGUAAUAUGAGUCAGACUACAAUACGCGUUCCAUGAUAUCCAGGCAGAUUUGAAUUGUCUUGUUGCUUUGACGUGCACUCCAAGUAACUUCAUGUCCUCGACCCGCACGCCUUGGUCGGGUCGGCCCUACUUGUCAGGUCUGACCAGUAUCUUGAGGUACCCAUAUCUCUCACCUUGGUGCUCCGGCGAUUAGGGUCAGUGGCGAGGAUGGGGAUUGGAAGAGGAGAUCGAGGGGACUUUAUGGAGAUGCUCACCGGCGACGAGGCGGACGGAUUCUGGCCAGUAUUUGGCUGGCGGUGGAAGAACACGACAGCUGGCUCAAGUCUUCGUGAGUGAUGGUACUCCGGCGGUGGAGCGACGACGACGACUGGUGGCAGAGCUGCUCCUCGAUGUCACGGAGCUCCCUAAGGCUCUAGCUUGCUCCGAUGGUCGACGAGCACAGCGAAUCGGCCAGAGAAGGACGGCAGUGGCUCCUAGCUCUGGCGGAUGUGGGGGAUGGCAGUGCUCGUGCAAGCUAGGAAGAGUGGCGGUGUGAGGCAGGGCAAUAGCAGGGGCACAAUCUCGACUUUUAUAUGUGCGUGGGUCCGCGCCUGCCUUGGCACGCAUGCCGAGGUUCGGCGGUGGCGAUGCCCAAGUGCAGCUACGCUUGGCCUCGACCCGCUGUUGGUCGAUGGGCCUAGCGGGCCUAGCCGAGCCAUCAACUGGGCCGGGUCAGUGCAGGUUAGUUGGAGAGGGUCGGGCCCCAAAGACUUGGCCCCAUCGAUUAGGAUUUUUCUUUUUUUCAGAAAUGAUUUCUCGUGAAAGAAAAAUCCAGAAAAAUUCUAGAUAAUUAAUUUAAACAAUGAAAAAACUCUAAAAAUCCAAAAAUUUCAGGAAAAAUCAUCUCUAGUUUGGGACAUGAGGAGUCCAAAUAAAAUACUUGGACCUCGUGAAAAGGAUUCUAGAACCUUCCAAAAAUUGGAUUUAGCUUUAGAAAAAAAUGAGAAUAAAUCUUAGAAAAAUCUGAAAAUUCUCAUAAGAACCUAAUCAGCAUCUAAACGCAUUCCAAAACCUUUGCACUUAUGAAAUACCAAGAUGCAUUGGUGUGAAUGCAACCCAUACACAAUCAUUAUAUUUAAUUCAGAAAAACACUCAAUUGUUUUCCUAUACUAAAUUUCCUCUUAAGAAAAUAAAUGUUGGAAAAAUUUUAAAAUUGUGAAAAAAUUAUUGUUUAAUUAUUCUUUUUAAUCAAAUCCUGAAAUUUCAAAAAUUUUAAGGUGAGGCAGAUACCCUCAGGUUUACAGAAUUUGACAUCCAUGUGCAAAUUGGAUCUAUCCUUCCAUGAUCUACAAGGUGAAGUGCCAAAAGUUUUUUUUUGGCAAAUGCAACUUACAUGUCGAUUUAUGGAAAUGAUCAGCUUUGUGGUGGAAAUACCUCAACUUCAUUUAACUCCAUGCUCCAUGUCCAGUGCAAAAAAGAAAAAAAAGGAAAUUUGUCGAAAACCCUUGUGAUCACCCUAACAUCAAUCGGUGCAGUUGUAUUCUCAGUUUCAGUACUUACUGUAAUUGUGUUGAUCUGUAAGAAGCUUAGGAAAAGGCACGAAAGUCAACUCAUAUCCACAACUGAGGAACGGUAUGAAAGAGUUUCUUAUCAUGCUUUGUCAAAUGGGACCAAUGGAUUUUCAGAGGACAAUUUACUUGGACAAGGAAGCUAUGGCAUGGUUUAUAAAUGUACUUUACAUGACCAGGGCACUACAGUAGGCUACUGUAAAGGUGUUUAACACACAACAAUCUGGGACUUCUAGAAGUUUUGUCGCUGAAUGCGAGGCACUCAGAAGGGUGCGUCCUCGUUGUCUCGUAAAGAUCAUCACUUGUUGCUCAAGCAUCAAUCACCAGGGUCAAGAGUUCAAGGCACUAGUUUUUGAGCUCAUGCCAAAUGGUAGCCUAAAUGGUUGGCUUCACCCAGAGUCUGACACACUUACCCAGACAAAUACCCUUAGCCUUGAACAAAGGCUACACAUUGCUGUCGAUAUCCUGGAUGCUUUGGACUAUCUUCAUAAUCACUGUCAGCCAUCAAUCAUUCAUUGCGAUCUCAAGCCAAGCAACAUCUUUCUUGCGGAGGACGUGAGUGAGUGCCCGAGUUGGAGGUUUUGGCAUACGAAGAAUCCUUCCAGAAAGUGCUAGUAAAACCCUGCAAAAUUCGAAUAGCACAACUGGAAUAAGAGGCACCAUUGGUUAUGUUGCACCAGGUAAUGAAAGAGAUAUUUUUGGUAUUUGUAAAAUGUUCUUAGUUCUUACGUAUACAUGACCUGCUGACCUUUGGAUUUUUUCCCCAAUCAGAGUACGGUGAAGGUUCUUCUGUCUCAACUCAAGGUGAUGUUUAUAGCCUCGGCAUAUUGCUGCUUGAGAUGUUUACUGGAAGGAACCCAACAGAUGAGAUAUUCAAUGAUUCUUUGGAUUUGCACAAGUUUUCAGAGAAUGCUCUUCCAGAGAGAAUAUGGGAUAUAGUUGAUCCGACAAUACGGAUGCACACAGAUGCCUAUAACAGCACUAUAAGAAGUGGAAUUAAGAAUUGCUUGGUUUAUGUUGUUUCUCUUGGAAUAUCAUGCUCGGAGAAACAACCUAGGGAGCGGAUCCCGAUUCUGGAUGCAGCCAUUGAGAUGCACGCUAUUAGAGAUUCGUAUCUCAAGUUUGCCAGAUCUCUUUUGGUGGAGCAUGGAGUAGUAGCAACAACUCACAGUGAUUUUCCACAACAGUGAAUACAUAGGACUGAAAAUGCGCAAGAUGUCUGCAGAUGAUCAGUUUACCUGAAAUAACUGAAGAUGUAUGAAGCUUCAGCUUUAUAAUUUGUCCAUGCAUUUGUUUGCAUCAGAUAUAUGGAAGUAUAAAAUAAGUUUAGAAAAUGUUUCAAAAUAGAUUAGAUCCAGAGGUUUUAGUUGUCGUUUGUAUGACACAUUUUUGUAGAGAAUUCAGUAAUAUGUAUGAUUCAUAAUACAAUCAAUGCUCUGCAAAUUUCAGAUAGCACAAUUGGAAUAAAAAGCUCAUUCCUUGAUUAUGUUUCUCUAGGUAACUCAACUUAUUGUGAUGUUCACUGUAGAUUUCUCCAUGGUCCAAACGACCUUUGUGAUCAGUUAUGUUUAUGCAUUUUGUAGAAUUGUAAAGUCUUUCCCUAACCUGCUGACAUAUUAGCCGGAGCAUAGCACUUUGCCGUUCUGUACCACUCGCCUCUAGGAGGCGCUUGCCGCUUGGUGGCUGCCGUGGCGACCGACGGCAUCCGUACCUGCUCUGUCGGAGAUGGGUGGAGCUGCUCUGCUCUGCCGGUACGAGCUCACUCGCGCCGUGAAUGGCGCGCGCCUCUAAGGUCUCAUCAGCUGCAGGUGCAGAUGGGUGGAGAGCUUAGCGGCGCUAGGUCUUCAGAAGAUGGGGCUUUGCAGCUCUGAAUGGUGAGGCGGGCAGGGACGACGGAGCUGGACGCGUGGGGAGGAGACGAUGGGCAUUUCUGAUAAUAGUUGGAUCGCGAUCCAAAUUAGGGGGCUAUUUACAAAUAAUAGGGGGUAUUCCGUAAAUAUUCGGAUCGCGAUCAUUAAUCGCGAUCCAAAUGAGGGGUUAAUUGAAAUUAUGAUGGGGUGUCUUUUGAAAUUCCGGAUCGCGAUCCCAUCCUCCGCCGCGGCUCGCCGGAGCGCCGCCAGACGCCGGCCAUCCCUUGGGGUACCUCUUCUUCCUUCCGCUUGUCGGAGCCCUAAGACGUGGUCGGUGUUUGAUCUGACAAGGAACCUUGAAGUCCGGACUAACUGAAGAAGACAGACAUGAUGCUGACCUGGAAGACGACGGCCUCGCCAUGGCUGGAUGCGGCGCGGUGGAAGGACAGUGUGGUGGAGGGCGUGGUCCACCACAUUCCGUCGACGGGCGGCGCACUUGCUGUCGCCUGUCGGCUACUUCCAGGCCGUAGCUGAGCUUCAGAGUUCAGACAGGGUGCUUGUGCUUGCAACAAGUUCAGAACGAUGUCAUUAAUUUGAUGCAGAGGAUGGAGCAAACCGGUUGCAAAUUGGAUUCUGAUACAUAUAACUUAAUAUUGAACCUUUAUGUCGAUUGGAAAUAUGAGAAGGGGUGCACCAAAUAUGGGAUGAGAUGGAGAGGAGUGGAUCAGGCCCAGAUCAACGAUCAUUUACUAUUAUGGUUCAUGGUCUUCAUUCCCAAGGAAAGCUUGAUGAGGCUCAACAAUGAAGUCAAGAGGGUUGAUCCCUGAACCAAGGACCAAGAUACUGGUGAAAGCUAUACAUAUGAAGAAAGAUGGGGCUGUCACAGAAGAUCAGUCUGCAAAUAUGACAGGGAAGAAUCUAAAACUGGAUCCACGAUCUAGACUAUUCCAUGUUCAUAAAUAGUUUGCUGUCAGAUCUUACUUCUAUAACCUGAACAGAGGAUUGCUGGGCACGUAUUAUGUGUCAAAAGAAUAUCUUCUACCAGUGUCCAGAUCACAAUGGCCACACCUUGGGCUACAAUAAAUCAUCAGCAAAGUGUAUUGGCAUUAUGUAUCCCAGAAAGUUUUGCUCAGACUUUCAAUGCCAGGGUAUGCUUUUUAUGUCUGAUACGGAUCAAUUGCCAGUACUGUAUUACACCGCUCGUAUUAUGAAGGUUAUGUGAAAUAUGACAGAUGUUUGUUUAUUCAUCUGUUAUGCAUGGCUGUGUCUACUGUCUAGUUCUUGGCUUGUUGCCAACAUAUGCAGCAGCAGGUAGCUUCAGCCGCUCAGAAGCCCAAAUGAAGGAUGGCCCAGGCAGAAUAGCUAUGUCUAGACCCAGAAAGCUUAGGACAUGUCUUGCCAGCCUGCAGUUUUGUACUCGUAGCACCAACCAUCUCCGGGUUCUGGCCGGUUAUAUACAUGAUCUGGAAUGGGCAUCCGCUGAUCGAUUGAAACCUUGAGUUGCUUCCGUGUGUCUUUUGCCAUCUAUAUAUUAUGGUUAGUCAACGGCAUGCAGUACACCCAUGCAUAUGAUUGCAGUAGGAUGACAUGGCGCGACCAGAACCCUUCUUUUGCCAGUUUUAGAUUCUUAUACACGGCCAACUGACGCAGCAGGGAGUGGCAUGCUAAGCAGUUCAGCGUAGGUGGUGUGUUCUUAACUCUGAUAUGGCUUAUGGAAGAACACUGUCACGGUGUCACUGUCCAACCUCUUACUAGGGACAGCAAUGGCCCUGUCCACUGUUUCGUGGCUGGUAUUAUUACCCCUAUGCAGUGAAUCUGACAUGUGGAUCUAUGUGUAUAUUAUGUCGUCAAAAGAACAUUAUUUGAACUCUAUUUGUGGCGCCACCUUUGAUUCUAUUAAUGUGUCAUGGUCAAUUGAUGUCAAACUCUAUUAUCUUCAAGUCUUAUUGUAUUGAUAAAAUCACGAUGCUGCUACUGCCAUUUUGAUGUUUAUAAAAGGGUAUUGAGAACCUGGUGGGUAUCCAUUCGAUGCGCAGGGGUGGGGGUGGGGAAAAAUGAGUGUAAAGGAUAGGGAUACAGUAUUUAGAAAGAUGGGGCUGCCACAGAAGAUAGUCUCCAAGUAUGGCAGGGAAGAAUCUAAAAACUGAUUCCUUGAUCAAGACUGUCCCAUAUUCAUAAAUAGUUCACUGACAGAUCUUGCUUGCAUAUUCUGAACAGCUGAUGCUGGGCACAUAGGAGGUUAACCGGUCAGCGGAUCGAAGGAAAAAAAAAUCUUGCCUGUCAGUGUCCACAAUGGCCUCAUCUUGGGUUAGAGACAAUCAUCCCUAAAGAAUCAUAUUGCCGGAUAAGGUUAUCUGUGAUUGGUGGGUGCAGAUCCAUGCUCAUCCUAGAAACAAGCCAGGGCUAAAUGCGCCACUCAUUUUAGAUGCUUGGAUGUUGUGGUCACACCGAAAUGAUCGUGUGUUUAAUGGAGUUUCCCAUAGUGACUAGCGUGCAGGCUGUCCUCGUAUUCGAGAAAAAAAAAAUCAAUGGGCGAAAUAUUUUCACCCAGGUAAUUGUUGCAUUGUAUGAAUAGGUUAGAGUAUGAAUGUGCGUGUACUGUGACACAAGAAGAUUUAUCAUAUCCAUAUAUGAAUUAGUGUUAAAUUUGCUACAUAAAUAUCUUCUCUUAUCUCAUUGUAUGUGUAUAUAUGACACAGAAGCACAUGUAUAUCGGCAUUGUAGAGAGAGAGAUGAGAGAGAGAAGCUUAUCUGCUUUUUGGAGAUAAAUAUUCAAAUUACUGGUGUAUGAGAGGGAUAUAAUUAUUCUAUUAAAUUGUUUAUUCAACAUCUAAAAAGAUUCCAAUGUUUAGUCAUCUAUAUAGGCAUUGUAGAGAGAGAGACUAGUGUUCAGCUGGUUGGAAGGAUGAGAGAGAGGAGAGAGUUCAGAUGAGAAAGAGACUAGUGUUUAGCUGGUUGGAAGGAUGAGAGAGAGAGAUAGAGUAGAGUUUGGAUGAUAGAGAGAUUAGUGUUCACCUGGUUGGAAGGAUGAGAGGGAGAUGAGAGAGUUCAGAUGAGGAGGUGGAGAGUUUGGAAGAGAGAGAGAGAGGUGAGAGUUUGGAUGAGAGAGAAAGCAGCUAAGAAGGAUGAGAGAGAGAAAGCGGUAUUCAGCUGGAUGGUGGAGACUUCAUAUAUUACUUAGCGUUGCUACGGCGAAACGACGUUGCUUAGCGCGCGAUGUUUUUAUCGUGUCGUGUAGCGCACCACAUUUUUUAUCGUGUUGUGUAACUUUUUUAUUUUAGUAGUAUUAGACUUUUCAUACAUAAGGGGCCACGUGAGUGUGUCCAUAUCCCAACCGUGCGGAGACCGCUUGUCAUUGAAUUUGUUAUCUCUUGCUCUAUCUUGUGAUUGGUAGGCUUCUACAGCAAUUCUGCACAAAGAAGGCCCCACUUCGCCCCACUCCUGACGUCCGGUUAUUCCCACGCCUGCCCUCUCCCUCUCCAAUCCUCACCGCCAGCUCCUCAGGGUCUAGGUCGGCCCGUGAUGUAGUGGCCUAUUAUCCUUCCACCGUUGGAAGCGAGCAGUGAUCGCUGCUCUGUGAACCUAGCCUCAAGCUGUUCCUACCACUUCAGGUCCAGUGAUGCCCGAGCUUUCGCUUGGCCCGAACAGGCCACUACCAACUUGGAACGGGCAAGGCCAGCAAGGGCACAGAAUAGACCCAAGCCCAGAGUCCGCGCCCAACCAUCCACACCACCUUAAUGCCCCCACUUGGGUUACAAGCCCGCGCAACCAAGCUCGGUGAGGAUGGCUCGUGAGGACGAACAUUUAAGCUGGUGCGUUGCUGCUUCAGAUGGCGAGGUGAUACUAAUAUAACGAAUAGGAAAAUUUCACGUGGGUCCCAUGCCGCACCCACCCCUAUCCUUAUCCUUUCUCAUCUCUCUACUGUCUGUCCGGUCCUUAUCCUCCUCAUCUCAUCUCUCUCUCUCAAUCCCUCUCUCUCAAACUCUCUAUCUCUCCUAUCCCCUCUUUCUCUGGAGAACGCGGUGCACGGCCAGCCCCAGCGGCGGCCUGGAGGCGCGAGGUGCCGCCGGCGGCCGAGGGUUGCGGGGCUGCGGCAAGGAGCCUCCUGGCUGUGGAUGCGACGGCCUAGCCACGGGUGCCGGGCCGCGUCACACCGCGCGCUGCUGCCGUCGAGCGGGCCGCACGCACUGCCCACACACCAGGCGGCGUGGGCGGCCAGGCUGAGCGGCGCGGCCGGGGCUGGGGAGGCGACUCUGGUGCGGCCGAGGUAGCUUGGGCACGGCCGGCUGUGGUGGGUAGGGAGAGGUGGACGGCGGCACAACGGCAGCGCGGAGAGGCGGACGUCAGGCACGAACGGGUGAAAGGGGAGACUGGGAAAGAAAGCUGGACCCACCUAUCAAUGCAGCCGGGGCCGGGGCAGCGCGGGCGGCUGAGGCCGAGGCCAGGCGGCGCGGUCGGGGCCAGGGAGGCGGCUCUGGUGCAGCCAGCCGUGGCUGGCAGGGAGAGGCGGACAACAGCGCAACGGCGGCAUGGAGAGGUGGACGUCAGGCACGGGUGGGUGAAAGGGGAGACGGGGAAAGAAAGCUAGACCCACCUGUCAAUGCGUUAAUCUUACCUAUUAUUAAACAUCAGGGCCACCUCUCAUUGAUAGAAGUUGGACCAAACCAAAAAAAAGUGGGCAGAAGUGUUCCUCACUUUAAUAGUAACAAUAAAGUAUAGAUAAUGCAUCCAAACAACAUUUGGAAUUUAAUUCUAAGAAAAACAAAAUAUGAUUCAUGGAAUGAGUUUCAACUCUAGGAAUCCAAACAGGCCUUAGUUAUUUCUUAUGUAGCUCAAAUCAGAUGCAAGGUACGUCCUAACUUAAAAAACGUAAGUUACUUUGUGUUAUCUUGUGAAUCAGUGAUUAAUUACUUCCAAUCUUAUGUAAAAAGAACUACGAGUUAAAUUCUUUGUCAGAUUUAUACUGACAAGUUACAAGCACAUACCUCUGCAGUAACAGGCGAGCCCUAGACUAGUGGGCAAACCAAAAACAACAUGAUUCGUCAACUGAUCGAAUGCUAAUGACUAUUUUGCUAGGAGAAUGAACAUGAUUCAUGAAAAAAAGGGAGCUACUAACUUGGUCAAGGUCUCCGUCCUCUAGCGUGGGGAAGGGGCCAUCUUGCUCCACGCCACGUCUGCGUGGUUGCUCGGCGGGCGCGACGGCGUCGGCUGCGGAGUGCGGACGGCGCGUAGAUAUGUCAUUGUUGAUCAGGACAUGCACUGCUAUCACCGUCUGUUAUUGGUCAAGGUCUCCGUCCUCUAGCGUGGGGAAGGGGCCAUCUUGCUCCACUCCACGUCUGCGUGGUUGCUCGGCAGGCGCGACGGCGUUGGCUGCGGAGUGCGGACGACGCGUAGAUAUGUCAUUGUUGAUCAGGACAUGCACUUCUAUCACCGUCUGUGGUUGGCGUCCGCGGCCGAGCGGGUCAAGGUCUCCGUCCUCUAGCGUGGGGAAACAGGAUCUCUUCAAUCAGUGCUUCUACAGAAACGGUGCACGGUCACCACGGACCAACGACAUACCAUGAGAAAAGCAGAGCGAAAUGUUGCAGUAGCAGAGUGACCGGAGACUGGAGAGCACUUGCUGCUAAAAGCUGCCUCUUAUUUUGUAUCGUCUUAACAGAAGACUUUAAGUCAACCGCCAUUCGAUUCCAAUAUAAACUAGCAAGUUGGCCCGCGAUAAUACUGCGGCUAGAUUUGAUACAGUAUAAUUUUUUUAAAUACUAUGUUAGCUUAGUAUAUUUCUUUGUCCCUCUUGAUUUGUUUUUCAUCCUCUUGAAAUCACUGAGUAUAGUUAGGUGCCUUACUCUACACAUUGAGUAUCAAGCCAUAUGUGUAUAUUUGUUUUUUUGCAAAUGAACUCCGAUGCCACAUGUGCAUAUGCACGCCUAAUUAAAAUUGCUCACUUGUAACAAAAUAAGAACAACUUGAGUAGUUGAUUCUGAUCUUAUGUUGAAGUUUUUGCCAACUUUUCCUAGUAUUGUUGUGUUGAGUAGAAAGCCUGUGUAGAGAAAGAUACAAAACAAACGAUCGUGUCAACUACUCCCCAUGCUUGCUCAAAUGAUUUUGAAAAAAAAAAACAACCGCGCUCUAAGUCCUAGGGCGGUGAUAUUCCUCCUUACUUUCCUCCUCUUGUUUUCCAUGCACAAUCGAGGAUGACAAAUACCACAAACCACUUAGGCUCGAUCAUGUUUCAUCAUCACAUUCCUCAAAUCUUGAUCACGUUGUUGUCUUCAUUAUGCUAGCAGUACACAUCUCUCCGCCUCUUCUAUUCCACAAAACCAUAAUUGUUCACCGGCUCCAGCAUUGUUGUUGCUCUCCACCAAUCGAGGAAGCUCUUGUCCUUGACAUCACCUUAUCCACUGACCAGCUGAAGUUAUCUGUACAUCCAAAGGUCUCAUAAGAUUUUUGCUGGAUUUGCAUUAAUAUUAAUAUUGCCACCAAUCUAGUCUCAACCUCGCCUUGUGUUCUCCGUGGUCAUUUUUUAUUCUAACUUGCAAGCUCCACAACUACAUAUGAUGGUUCUUCUAUAUACAUAAUAUAUCGCAUCUUCUAAGACAUAUAUCGCGGGCCGGCGGCGCGCGGGGGAGCGGCGCCGGUGGAGCGGAGGCGACCGGUGGUGGGCGGAAGCGGGUGGGCGCGAGCGCGGGUGGAGGCGGAAGAGCGUGCAGGCGGAGGCGGAUGGGUGGAGGCGUGCAGCGGCGGCGGGCGCGGGCGUGUGGCAGCAAGGCCGGCGGCGCGGGGAGGCGGAGACCGGUGGCGGCCAGCCGGCGAGCGUGGGGAUUCUUUUUAUUUUUUUCGAAAUUUUUUAGUCCCGAUUAGUGGUUGGUAACCCAACCGGGACUAAAGGGGACCUUUAAUUCCGGGUGGAUGACCCGGGACUAAAAAUCUCCUCUUUUGUCAAGCCAUCACUAUUGUCCAUAUCACAACGCCUGUGCCUUCUCUUGUUGUCCUCCCCCUUCCCUCUACCUUGCACCUUCUGUUUUCCUGAUCCUAUUGCCAGUUUGUUGCAGCCAUUUAUGGGCACCUCUUUCAUCCAUUGUCCACUGUUGUUGCCCGCUGCUUCAGUUCUUCUCUGACCAAAGCGGUCGUAUCGCGCUGGCCGGUAGGAAGCCAUCAUCUCGCAAAAGCGUCAUCGUCGUCGCCAAACCACAUCUAGCCGAUGCCGAACCAUACUUGCCAUCUUCUUUGCCAAUUUGCCGCUAUGGAAGCCUCCAUGCAUCGCUCAUCAAGUCUAUCCUAUCUCUAUCAGCUCCUGUGGUAUCCUGUUUUGUUUUUGCCUCAACCACGAAGCCAUAGGUUGCUGGUGCUAAAUUGCAGGGCUAGCAACAGGUAUUUCCUCUCCCUGGCCUUGCGGCCAUGCUAUGUAUUUUUCUCUUUAAAAAAAUUACAAUGAUUUAAUCCUAAUGUUCCGAUCAUGUGUGAUUGGUUUAUUAAUUAAAGUUAGAGUUAUACUUGAGUAUAUUAUAUAAAAAUAAUAUAUAUAUAUAUAUAUAUAUAUAUAUAUAUAUAUAUAAGUUACCAUACAAAGUACAACUUCCUACAAGGUGGAGAGGUUCGGAUGGAAUUUUGAUUCAACUUACUCUAUUCUAGAUAUUAGAGUUGUACUAGCAAAAUAUGCUAGUAUGUUGCUACGGUAAAAGAUCAAUUGUGUUUUUCAAAUUAAUAAUAUUUUUUAUUUUCAUAACUAAAUUUUUAUUCCACUUAUUGGAUGUCCACACAUUUAAUAGAAAACUAAAAGAAUUUUUUAUUCAAGCAAGAUAGUUAAAUCAGCCUCCGAUGGCCACCGACGGGGGCUCUUUAGGACUCCUUUAGCCCCGGUUGUAAAGCUAGUGGUCCUCGGGAUUCUGGUGAGGCGUUUUGUCCCGGUUGUAACUACCAACCGAGACUAAAGGGGGGGCCUUUAGUCCCGAUCAGUGUUUCCAACACAGACAAAAUGCUCCUCACCUCCACAUACACAAUGCGCGUGCCCCAAUUUCUCUCCUCCCUCCCCUUAAUUCCAGCGGCCAGGCCUCCUCUCCUUAAUUCCAACACCCACAUGCCUCCUCUCCUCCUCCCUUCACCCCCUACCUCCUCUCCUCCCUCUCUCUCUCUCCUCCGCCGGAUCCGGCCGGCCCCCACUCCCUCUCCCCAAGCUCCUCCCUCUCCCUCGGCCGAGGCGGGUGGCGCAGCCGGGGCCAGGGCGGCGUGGGUGGCCAGGGUCGGGGCCAGGGAGGAUGAUAGGUGGUUAUGAGGAUGAUACCUGCAGAUAAUACUUUUAAUCUCAAUUCUUACAGAAGAAUUGCACUAUGAACUACGCUUUCAUUUAUACCACACCGCUCAGCUAUAAAAAAUGGUGCAAAUCGACCAAAAUAAAUGAAUAAAUCACAUGGUUUAGACUGGUGGCAUAUGUAUGUUUGAUGAGUUUUGAAUCCCAACAGACCUCUGUUUGCUUAUCCAACCGGAGGAAAAACCUUUACUUACUAAAUCAGCUUUGCAUGCCAGGCUGCAAUUGUUAGAGCAGAAUUAGGUAAUUUGUGAACAUAAUUGAAUCAAAGUUUUGUCUCUGACAAGUAAUAGAAAAUGGUAAUGCUCCAUAGCAAGAACACGUUCCUACACUAGUUUAAAAAAUUCCCUGAAAUUGGGAACAAUGGUCAAGUCCAAACCAUACUUGCAACUUGGAGGACCGCUGGCCGAUGUAAGUCAAAGUCAAAAACAGAAGGAGACAGCGACGUCUCACCAGAUCACGAAUCAGAUGCGAUGCAUGUGCAUGUUCAGCAAGACAUUGAAAAGCAAGCUCUUCAAUACGCUCCAGCCCAGCUCCACCAUGGCUUUGGCAAUGCGCGUCAUGAGCUUGCUUCCUGCCACCAUCGCCGUGAUGAUCGCAGUGGCCUCUUGGGGAGCGCACGGCGGUGCCAGCGACGAGGCCAGCGCGCUGCUUGCUUUCAAGGCUCAGCUCGCCGGCAGCGGUUCCGGCAUGCUUGCAUCCUGGAAUGGCACCGCUGGCGUCUGCGGCUGGGAGGGCGUGGCGUGCACCGGCGGCCAGGUAGUGGCACUGAGCCUGCCCUCCUAUGGGCUCGCCGGAGCCCUCUCCCCGGCCAUUGGGAACCUCACUUUCCUGCGGACCCUGAACCUGAGUUCCAACUGGUUCCAGGGGGAGGUCCCAGCAAGCAUCGGCCGCCUAGCGAGUCUGCAGACGCUUGAUCUGAGCUACAAUACGUUCUCUGGUACGCUUCCUUCCAACCUCAGUGCCUGUGUCAGCUUACUGCUGUUGAGGCUCAGUAGUAACCGGUUCCAUGGGCGUAUCCCUGUUGAGCUUGGAGACAAGCUAACAAGUCUUCAGAUGUUGUCACUGCGCAACAACAGCUUGACGGGUGCCAUACCAGGAUCACUAGGUAACCUGUCAUCCCUGAUCUACCUUCAUCUGACAGAAAACCACCUCGAGGGUCCGAUCCCACAUGAACUUGGCAGCAUGGGCGGCCUGCAGGUCCUUUUCCUCUAUGAGAACAGACUCUCCGGUGUGCUUCCACACUCCCUGUACAAUCUGUCCUCACUGAAAAGCUUGUGGGUAGGAUACAACAUGCUGUCUGGAACCAUCCCUGCUGAUAUCGGCGAUAGGUUCCCCGGUAUGGAAGCUCUUGACUUUUCUAGCAACCGAUUCAGUGGAGCUAUCCCACCUUCGCUCGCCAACCUCUCUGCUCUCACAAAACUAGUCCUUCAAGGAAAUGAUUUUAUUGGAUAUGUGCCUUCUGCUUUGGGGAAGUUAAGUCUUACUGCCCUUUACUUGGGUGACAACAGGCUAGAAGCAAACGACAGUCAAGGGUGGGAAUUCAUAGCUUCACUGGCAAACAGCUCCCAGCUUCAGCUUCUUGUUCUCGGCAACAACUCUUUCAGCGGGCAACUGCCUAAUUCAGUCACAAACCUGUCAUCAACUCUGCAAGGUCUUUAUUUGGGACCCAAUAUGAUUUCUGGGAAUAUUCCAAUAAACAUCGGAAAUUUGGUUGGUCUUACAGUACUUGAGAUGGCAAAUACUUUUGUAUCUGGACAGAUUCCAGAGAGCAUUGGUCAGCUAAGAAACUUGGUUCAGCUAGCCCUUUACAACACUAGCUUGUCAGGCCUCAUACCUUCAUCACUAGGAAAUCUUACACAGUUGAAUAGCCUUUUAGCAUACUAUGGAAACUUAGAGGGGCCAAUUCCAUCAAACUUGGGGAACUUAAAGAAUGUGUUUUCCUUUGAUCUCUCAACAAAUCGACUCAAUGGUUCAAUUCCUAUAGAGGUUUUAAAACUUCCUCGACUUUCCUGGUACUUAGACUUAUCAUAUAAUUCAUUAUCCGGGCCACUUCCAACUGAGGUUGGUACCAUGGUGAAUCUUAACGAACUGAUUCUGUCUGGAAACAAGUUGUCAGGCACCAUACCAGCUAGUGUUGGGAACUGUAUAUCGUUGGUACGGCUGCUGCUCGAUAACAACUUAUUAGAAGGAAGCAUACCGCAAUCUCUGAAGAACUUAAAAGGUCUUGAAUUACUGAACCUAACAAUGAAUAAGCUAUCUGGUAGUAUUCCUGAUGCCCUUGCUAGCAUUGGCAACCUGCAACAACUGUAUCUUGCACACAACAACUUGUCAGGUUCCAUCCCCAAAGUUCUACAGAAUUUGACAUUGUUGGCAAAACUGGAUUUGUCCUUCAAUGAUCUGCAAGGCGAAGUGCCAAAAGGGGGUCCUUUUGCAAAUGCAACUCGCUUGUCACUUGAUGGAAAUGAUGAGCUUUGUGGCGGAAACCCUCAACUUCAUUUAGCUCCGUGCUCCACAGCUGCUGCGAGGAAGAACAGAAGGCGAAUGUCAAGAUCACUUAUGGUCACCGUUGCGUCAAUCUGCGCAUUUCUAUUCUUAGGUUUAAUAGUUUGUCUUAUCCAUUUGAUCCACAAGAGGCUCAGACAAGGAAAGGAAAAUCAACUCAUUCCCACAGCAAUUGAUGAACAGCACCAAAGGGUUUCAUAUCAAGCAUUAGCAAAUGGGACUGACCAUUUUUCGGAGGUUAAUCUGCUCGGACAAGGAAGCUAUGGUGCAGUUUAUAAGUGCACUUUACAUGACAAGGGAAUUACCGCAGCUGUAAAGGUAUUCAACGUACGGCAAUCUAGGUCUACUAGAAGUUUUGUGGCUGAAUGUGAGGCACUGCGAAGGGUGCGCCACCGAUGUCUCAUAAAGAUCAUCACCUGUUGCUUAAGCAUUGAUCACCAAGGCCAAGAAUUCAAGGCACUGGUUUUUGAGUUCAUGCCCAAUGGUAACCUAAAUGAUUGGCUGCAUCCAGCAUCCAAGAUACAGAGUCUGAGCAAUACGCUCAGCUUAGCUCAGAGACUGAACAUUGCGGUAGAUAUCAUGGAUGCUCUGGAUUAUCUUCACAAUCAGUGUCAACCGCCUAUUAUCCAUUGUGAUCUCAAACCAAGUAACAUCCUCCUUGCCGAAGAUAUGAGUGCUCGGGUUGGAGAUUUCGGCAUAUCAAAAAUCCUUCCUGAAGACACUAGCAAAACUCUGCUGAAUUCAGUUAGCUUCACUGGACUAAGAGGUUCCAUCGGAUAUGUCGCUCCAGGUAACAGAAACUAACACUGAUAUUGCUAUGUUCAGUUUUUAACUUCCAUUUUGCCAAGUCCAGUUAUCUCGGCAUGCACGUUGAUAAGUAGCUUGCCAUGAAUCCACUGACCAAAUAGUGUCUGAAAUCUGAAUUGACUGCAGAGUACGGCGAGGGUCGCGCUGUCUCAACUCUUGGAGAUGUUUACAGCCUCGGCAUACUGUUGCUUGAGAUGUUCACCGGGAUGAGCCCUACUGACGACAUGUUCAAAGGCUCCUUGGACCUUCAUAAGUUCGCCGAGGCCGCUCUCCCCGACAGAGCCUUGGAGGUAGCCGACCCGGCAAUCUGGUUUCAUGAAGAAGCAAAGGGGGAAAACCCUGCCACGGUGAGAAGCAGAAGCGAGAGGUGCUUGGCUUCAGUGAUCGGGCUUGGCGUGUCCUGCUCAAAGCAGCUGCCAAGGGAGCGGACGGCGAUGCGGGAUGCUGCCGCUGAGAUGCGUGCGAUCAGAGAUGCCUUCCUGGUUCAAUGUGCAACAGAGACUUGGCCUGCAGUCGGCACCACCGGCCUUGGAAGCGCAGACAGUUGAAUGGUGGACGGAGCUACGGUCUCUUGACGCACCAAGGAGCACUGGACUAGCAACUCUGCAACUAAACAGAGUGGAGAAAGAGCCCCUUAAUGAACAGAAAAACAGCCGGUGCAAGGCUUUAUACAAAGAAUGUGACAGCCACUGCGUGUAUCCGAGAGCCUUAUCUAAUCUACCAAGGAUUGUCCAUGUACUCCCUCCGUCCCAAAAUAAACACACAUGUCACUUGUCGAGGAGUCAAACUUUCUAAGUUUGACUAAAAUAAUGUACUACUAUUUAUAAUGUAUAAUAAGUAUCAUUAGAUUGAGUAUUGAGUAUACUUUUCUAAUACAUUUAUUUGAAGAUAUAAAUGUUGAUAUUAUUUUCUAUAUUCUUAAUCAAACUUAAAAACGUUUGACUCUCGAGAAGUGAGAUGUGCGUUUAUUUUAGGAUGGAGGGAGUACCCGUCACACGGAUUAGUUAUGAUAUAAGUAGGGACUAGCAAGCACCAAAACCCCAUUCACUGCCCAUGGAUCGCUCAAAUAAAAGAAACCAUUGCAUAUGGUGGUGAUGCGCUGGCGAGCCUUUCUCCAAACUUUCUGCUCUCGCGGACCUUGAACUCGCAUGGAACAAUUUUAGUGGAAGCGUGCCUCCACCUUUAUGGAGAUUGCGAAGCCUCAUUUACCUGUCCGUGGCAAUAAGCUAGGAUUGAAUGACAAGGACGGAUUGGAAUUCAUCACCAUGCUGGCAAACUGCAGUCAGCUUCAGCAACUGGCUUUUGACAAUAAUUCAUUCAUCGGGGAACUUCCUAGCUCAAUUGCAAAUCUAUGGACAACACUCCAAUUACUCUAUAUAGGAAACAAUUGGAUUUCGGGAUUUAUUCCAUCCAGCAUAGGUAAUUUGGUUGGUCUAGAACUGCUUACGUUGGCAAAUACUUUCAUAUCCGGAGUGAUUCCAGAUAGCAUUGGUCGCCUAGAAGGCAUGUCCGUGUUAGGCAUUUACUACACUAGCUUGUCAGGCAUCAUACCUUCAUCACAAGGAAACCUUACACAGUUGAAAGCUCUCUAUGCGUACGAUAGAAACUUGGAGGGUCCAAUUCCAGCAAGCUUGGAGAACUUAAAGAAUCUUUUUGUCCUUGAUCUCUCAACGAAAGUGUGUAACCUGCUAAGAUUUCAUGUCGAAGUAGAGCAUAAACCUCUCUCAAAAGACUGCGAAGCUACCAUAGAGUAGAUCAGUCUAAGGGUCGGACUAUACCCUAUCAACGCCUCCCCUCUUGCCCUUUCGAUAAGAUUACCCCAAAGGUCCAAACUAGAGUCUUUAAUUAAUUAACCAAGACCAAAGCCAUAUAGUUCUUGUGGUUGUACUAUUUUCCUGGGUGGUCGCUCCAUGUUCCAAUUAAGCAUGGCGGUCUUGUAUUAAUAAAAGGUAUAUCAUAAAUAAAACAAGUUUAAUCAUUGAGUUCAUUAAAACCAUCAUAACCCAAGGUAUUGCAACUAAGCAUAUCUACCCAAUAAAAAGGUAAAACCCAGGUUGACAAGGAAUGAUCAUAAAAACUAGGUCAAUAUUAAAUGCAGAGCAGUGUAGAAGUGAUUAAAUAUAGUUAUUGGUACAAAAACACAAACAAGGACACACUUGCCUUUCUCCAAAGAAUAGCUGCUCAGAUUAUCUUCAGCUCUUGUUCCUCAAAGCUCUCGAACAACGUUCCUUCUACUCGCAUCAAUCAUCGGCACAAGUAUACAAAGCAAACAACAAUCACAACUAAGAACAAUACAUCAAUCAUAGGAAAGCUUUAAAAGAGCGUACUAAAGGAUAAGGCUCGAAUCUAAGGUCACACGAAUGCAAGAAACGCUAGGAACGAAACUAUGGUUGAAAAGACAAAGCUAUCGAGAGAUUUGAAUUAUAAAAGAAAGAAAAGCCUAUGUGCUUCAUAUAUUUUAAUAAUGAAAAUAAUGUAAAGAUAUUUUAGAGAGACAUCCUUAGCAAGUUAUAUUUAUAUAUGAAAAGACGAUGUAGAAUAGUCAAAUUUUCUUUAUAAACAUUCAAGUACAAUUUAUGCAAAUUAAAUAUUUAAUUUGAAAAUAAAGUAUAUGUAAACAUCUAAGCGCAUAGCUUUAUGGUUAUGGUUCGGGUUGAACUAACCAAAUAUAAUUCAAAAACACAAUUAUUUUUAUAUUAGUCAAAUUAACAUAUAAUUAUGAAAACUCGAGAUAUAACUUAUGUAGCUUUUAUUUAGAAAACAAAUUGAAUAAAUAUUAAUCAAUUUAAGUUUAAUUAUGAACCACCGUGGUGCAUCUCUAAUUCGCUUUUAAUUGAAAGAGUUGUUUAAUUAAGCAUUAACUAAAUUAACAUUUAUUAUGAAAAGCGGUUAUAACACUAAGUAGCUUUUAAUUAAAGAAGACAUGUUUAACAUGCAUUAAUUAUAUUAAUAUUAAAUUAAUUUUAAAAACAUGCAUGAUGGAAGGAUCACUACUAACAUGUAAUUUGUGUUAUCACGAACCUAACUCAACAAGAACGGAUAUAAACGAAGCUGUAAUGAGGAGCCUAUGGGUUAAACAAGGUCGUAGGGCCUAAUCACGAUUAACGGAAGGUUAUUGGGGUUAGCAAGGAAGAUUUGCAAGACACUAUAAUAGAGCUCGCCAUUAGGUCAAAGCAUAGGGUUAGAUCUAUUAAAGUGCUCAGGUUGGACUUGGUUGCACGGAUCCAAUCUAAUGAGGGACAUGGAUGAAAAAAACAAGACACAAGGAAAAACUAACUAUUUACAAAGCUUUCCGGGGCCUAUGCGCAAAAGCACCACAACUCAGCAUCCAUGGCGGACGGGCUCCUGGAUGGCAAAAUCCUCGUGUCGGAUUUAUAAGCCCACAGUCCACCAAGGGGUUACCCAAGUCGUUGAUUGUGGCGGAACCGCCCAAAUUAACCUGACUAAAAUGCAUUGAAGUCGCCUGACACGCGAUUAUGCACUUUAAGCAAGUCAACUUGGUCGACCGUCGGAUUUCCUCCGAUAAACCACAUAAACAGGAUCGAGAAGCAUCGCUCACGCGAAGGUGAGUAGCACAGAGGUUACAACAAUCCAUCAUGACAACAUAGUUCAACAAUUUAUUACAUCAGAGUUUUUGAAAUUCAAACCGAAAUUUGCAUGGUUCGAAGUCAAAGGAAAACAGCGGAAACUAAACGUCGAUACAUGACAUCACGACGGAGCCGAUCAUGACAUCAAAAAUUUCUUCCUUCGCCAUCCGAGGAAGGAUCCCACUCGACGGUCCAGCCUGGAGGAAGCUGGGUCGGCCAAGUGGUACCAACACCCAAACUAUUGACAUUACCUGAAAAAGAUUAGCCACAACAAGGCUGAGCAACUAGUACUCAGCAAGACUGACCCGUCGGAAAGACACGACCGAGACCUAGACAUGCAAGGCUUUCUGGCUCUGGGGUUUUCUUUGCCAAAAGCGUCUAAAGUCAGUCCUUAUUUUCAACAUUUUAGCUCAUGUUCUAUGUUCUUUAUCCAUUCUAGAUUAGCAACUUAUACUAAACAAACAUGGUUUCCAAGCAAUUACUUAACAAGCAUCAAGAUUAAAAUCAUCAUCAUCAUGUUCCAUCUUUACUCAGUGCAGAAUAGCGAUCAAGUAGUCCCAAUCUGUGAGAGGCAGACGAAUCGAUUCGAAUUUAUUAACCAUGCAUGGCAAACCUAAUCUCACGACAUCCGCGCACCACGAAGGGUCGCUUCAUUUGUCAGCCGUCCCCAUCGAUCCCUUAGGCACGUGUCAGGGCCAACUUCCUUUGGCAUGCAAUGCUCCACAGUCCUGGCCUAUUGCUGCACUGUGACCGCACUUGCACCCACAUGAUGCACCAUGGGAACGACGUUCCAAGGACAGCCGGAGGGUAUGCCACGCCCCAGUUCAAUCAGGUACUAGGCUUCCCCAUCCCAUACUAGGUAUGAGAUUAGUACUUUCAAACACUUGAUCACGAACGCCGACACGUUUCGACCAUAGUUCAUUUUCAUUUAGACAGACGGGGCAAUCCACCAAGUAUCGAACACAAGCCUGACCCCGUCCGUCGUCCUUAUAGUUGCGACAUAUCUGAAAUAUUCAACUCCUAUAACUCGCGAGUGACAGGAGAUCACUCGACUUUUACCGAAACCUAUUAAGCAAUGCAACUACUCGGCAAGGUCUUCUUCCGGCGCCGGGUGAAGCUCGUACGUUCCGUCGGCGAGAUUCAACUCUACACGAAAAUGCAAUGCUGGGGUUAGACAUUUUAGAUGGUUAUUUCAACACACUCAUGUUUUAACACGGACACUUUGCUACAGGAAAGGUGGGGGAGUUCAACUUCUGUUGGUGGAGAACAGGAUGAGAGGGUCGGAUUGGGGGAAACUUAGGGUCUGACCCUCAGGUUUAAGGAAAAACCGUACCGAGGUCGUCAGACUCAACACAGAGGAAUCCCCAAAAUUAUUUCAUCGUACCCUCGGGUCAAAGAAAAAGUUACAACCGAGCCCUCGGGCGAGGCGGAGAAAGGGUCGGCGAAACUUGGCAGGGUCGGGCGAGGCGAAAGGAAAAAGGUCGGGCGAGAUGAAAAGAAAAGGGGUCGGGCGAACCGAAACAAAGGGGUCGGGCGAAACGAAAAGGAAGGGGUCGGUCGAGAGGGAACACAAGGGGUCGGUCGAGACGGAACACAAGGGGUUGGUCGCUUACCUCCAGGUCUACCGGUGAAGCCUUGGGGCCGAACAGGAGUAGGCUGGGGUGGGAAGUCGUACACGCUAAGUCUUGGGCAACGGCGAGUCUUCGACGGUGGUCAGGUGGCGGUGGUGCUUCUUGCGGACACCAGCAAGCUCGAGUACCGUGCGGAGGAGCGGGCGGCUGGUCUGUUGGGAGAAACGGCUUGAGGGUGGCGGCGAAGUCGCCGAAGUGUGGGGGUGGUGUAAAAGGGGUGAGCUCCACGGAAGCUCAGCGGCGGCGCGGGGAGAAAGCGGCGGCGCAGGUGCGGGCGGUGGCAAGGGGUGGCAUUGCCGGUGAGGGGGGUUCCCUUUUAUAGGGUCGGGGUGGCGCGGAGGGUCGAGGCGGGGCUUCGGUGGGGAAAGGAUAAGGCCGGGAGCGGCGAGUGCGCGGACAAGGCGGCCAUUGGCCAGCAACGCCAUUGGGCAGAGGAGGUGGAGCUCCGGGUGGUCUUCGGCGGCGAUUGGCCUUGGGCGACGCCCGUCUGGGGCUUCCGGUCUGUCGGGCGGGCGAGGCGGAGAGCUACCGUGGGGGUUGGGCGAACGGGCGGAGGCGCGGGAUGUCGGGGGCGUGUCAGCUUUCUCGGCGGACGGGCGGAACAGGGUUGGCGGAGCAGAGCCGUGGCAGGCGGAAGGCGGCACGCGCGCAGCCGGCGGUUGGCUGGCCCGGCGUUCGCUCCGUCCUGUCGCAGGCGCGGGUUGGGCGCCGUGGCUCUCGUCCUGUCGCUGUCGUGCUGGGGAUAGGGCGCCGGCGAGCUGCCGGUGGCCGGCGGCCACGUGGCGCGCGGUGCGCGAGCGAACAUGCUCGGGCGUGCGGGCGUCGAGGCUCCCUUCGGGCAGCAAGCCCGACCAGCUUUGGAGUGAUCCUUCCUCCGAAUCUUUCAACACAACUUCCGAAACUCCCUUAAACAAACUUGCUCAACUCUGAUUGUUCUUCAAACUUUGUUUAAGGUGCUGGUUUAGAUUGUGAAAGGAUUCAAAGAUAUUUCCGGCCAAGUUAGCCAAAAAUCUGGGAUUCCAGACUUAGGAUUUAAGGCAUCCGGGGUGAGUUGACUGGUUUACCUCACUUUGACCGGGAUUUUGAACAAGUUCGGGUCCGAUUUGGAUCUGGGUCAGAGUAACAAAGUUGGAAUACACUCGAGGUACUACAACUUUCAUUAAGGCUCUGACUUGGGUUUAGAUAGGAAAACGGGAUAUGAAAGCUUGUAAAGAUGGAGGAAAACUCGAAUUCCAGGACUUAAGAGAUUUUCAGGGUCCUUUAGAAAAACCGGCUUUGGUUGCUGUUUUUGACUUCCUUCCACUCCGAAUUGGUCAAAGUGCUUUUAACAAAAGUUGUUGGAAUUAAAAAGUUUUACAACUCUUAUUUGGGCAGAAACUUAAGUUUGUAUAUAAUAUUUCAAGAUUUAAAUCAAACUCCAAAAGGAGCUUCUUAGGUUUAUAAAGGUCAUUUCACUUCUUAAAUUAGGGAUUUAUCACUGGUUUAGAGUUAAAAGUACUUAAUUUAGGUAGAGUUGUUACAGCCUACCCCCCUUAAAGGAAUCUUGCCCCGAGAUUCAAGUGCAGAAGGAACUAGUGUGGUUGGUGCAAUGUACCUCCUUGCUCGAAAAGAAAACCGCGGAAGUUAGCGUUGAGGUACUCUUCCGUCUCCCAGGUCGCUUCAUCUUCCGUAUGGUUACUCUACUGAAUUUUGUACAUCUUGACCAUUUGCCGACGAGUAUGUCUUUCCUUGCGGUCGAGGAUCUUAACAGGAUACUCCUUAUAUGAUAAAUCGGGUUCGAUCUCCAAUUCUUCCGGGGGAAUGAUUUCAGUUGGAAUCCUGAUGCACUUCUUAAGUUGCGAGACAUGGAAAACAUCAGGUAUUGCUACAAUCUUCUCUGGAAGUUUAACUCGGUACGCUAUGGGUCCACACGCCUCUACGAUCUCAUAGGGACCAAUAUAGCGCGGAGCUAACUUUCCCUUUACUCCAAAACGUUGUACACCUUUGGUCGGUGAAACCCGUAGGUAUACAAAAUCCCCAACCUUAAAUUGGAUGGGUCUUCUUCUUUGAUCGGAAUAGCUCUUGUGUCGAGAUUGGGCGGCCUUGAGAUUUUCGCGGAUGACUCUCACUUUUUCUUCGGCCUCUAUGACCAGGUCAGGUCCAUACACCGUUCGCUCUCCGGGUUGCGACCAGCUCAGUGGGGUCCGGCAUCUACGUCCAUACAAGGCCUCGAAAGGUGCCAUUUUCAGGCUAGCUUGGUAACUGUUGUUGUAGGAGAAUUCCGCUAAUGGCAAAUACCCCAGUUCUUGUCAUAAUGAAUAACACAGGCGCGUAACAUAUCUUCCAAAAUCUGAUUAACCCUUUCAGUUUGCCCGUUGGUCUGAGGAUGAUAUGUGGAACUACGGAUCAAUUGAGUGCCAAGUGAAAACUGCAACUGCUCCCAAAAGCGUGCUACAAACUGACUACCUCGAUCAGAGAUGAUCAUUUUAGGUACUCCAUGCAAGGAAACAAUCCGAUCAAGGUACAAUUCUGCAUAUUUCUGUAUGGUGUGGGUGGUGUGUACUGGAAGGAAAUGUGCCGUUUUGGUUAGUCGGUCUACUAUAACCCAUAUGGAGUCAUGCUUGCGGGGGGUAUUGGGUAGUCCGACUAUAAAGUCCAUGCUUAUGUCUUCCCAUUUCCACGAGGGAAUAGGCAGCGGCUGCAAGGGGCCAGCUACCCUCAAGUGGCUUGCCUUGACUCGCUGACAGGUAUCACACUCUGAAACAUAGCGUGCAAUGUCGGGUUUCAUCCCACUCCACCAGAAAUUUUGUCGGAGGUCGUGAUACAUCUUGGUAUUGCCGGGGUGAAUCGAGAACUUGGAUAGGUGUGCUUCGUGCAGAAUUUGUCUCUUAAGCUCGGGAUCAUUUGGAACUACAAGUCGAGCUUCAUAAUGUACCACUCCUUUCCAGCCCUGUCGGAAACGUUUAUAUCCCUCAUCCUUCUGUGCAAGUUUCCCUUUGAUAAUGUUUAUCUCUUUGUCCUCUAGCUGUGCUAGAAUGAUUUGGUCAAGUAGGGUGGGCUCUAGAGAAAUAUGACUUAAGGUGUCGUGUGGAACAAUUUCCAAGUUGAGUCUAGCCAUUUCGUGACACAGGGUCUCGGCAUAAUUACUCGCCGAUAAGCAGUUACAAUGGAUCUUGCGGCUAAGGGCAUCUGCAACUAUGUUGGCUUUUCCUAGGUGAUAAUGCACUUCUAGGUCAUAAUCCUUGAUUAAUUCUAGCCAUCACCGCUGAUGCAUGUUGAGGUCUUCUUGAGUGAAUAUAUACUUAAGGCUCUUGUGAUCUGUAUAGAUGUUGCAUCGGGUUCCCAUGAGUUAAUGCCUCCAUAUUUUCAGAGCAUGAACGACUGCCGCUAACUCAAGAUCAUGAGUAGGGUAAUUCAACUCAUGUGGUCGUAAUGCUCGCGAGGCAUAGGCAAUGACUCGGCUGUCUUGCAUAAGAACACAACCAAGUCCAGUGCCAGAGGCAUCGCAAUACACAUCAAAUGGCCUAGUGGUGUCGAAAACUUCGAAUCUGAUGAACUGAAGUGGGCGGCUUCCAGUCCAUUACUUCUUGCACCUUGCUUGGGUCUACUGCUAUACCGUCUCUGGAUAUGGUGUGUCCCAAGAAUUUAACACUGUCCAGCCAAAAGUCACACUUAGAGAAUUUGGCAUAGAGUUGGUGGUCUCUUAAGCGUUGGAGUAAAGUAUGUAGGUGCUCUGCAUGUUUUUCUUCAUUCUUCGAGUACACCAAGAUGUCGUCAAUGAAUACCACGACGAAUUUGUCGAGUUCGGGCAUAAACACCGAAUUCAUGAGGUACAUGAAAUAAGCCGGUGCAUUAGUAAGCCCAAAUGACAUGACUAAGUACUCGUAGAGUCCAUAUCGUGUAGAAAAGGCAGUCUUUGGAAUGUCGCACGGGCGGAUCUUGAUUUGAUGGUAGCCAGAACGGAGGUCAAUUUUGGAAAACACUCUAGCUCCAGCUAAUUGGUCGAACAGAACAUCAAUGCGGGGUAGUGGGUACUUAUUCUUUAUCGUCACCGCAUUGAAAGGUCGGUAGUCCACACACAUACGCAGACUAUCGUCCUUCUUUUUCACAAACAAGGCAGGGCAACCCCAAGGUGAUGUACUUGGGCGAAUAAAACCCUUUUCCAACAAAACAUGCAACUGAGUUUUCAUUUCUGCUAGUUCGGCUGGUGGCAUCCGGUAUGGUCUCUUUGAAAUUGGGGCGGUACCUGGUUGCAACUCAAUGGCAAACUCGAUGUCUCUCUCAGGCGGCAUACCCGGCAAAUCGUCUGGAAACACAUCCGGGUACUCGCACACUACUGGGAUAUCUUCCAAUCGGGCUUUAGACACGGGAUAGGCACAAGAAGUUUGGCACUCUCGGGGAGGUAAGUGUAUAGUCGAGCUACCAUACUUGGGUGAAUUUAUAUGGAUUGCCCUGGCAGGGAUAUCUAGGGUCACUUGGUGUCGGGUCAUCCAAUCCAUACGCAAGAUAACAUCUAUUCCUUCUAUCCCAAGGGUAAGCAGAUCUUCCUUAAGAAGGGUCCUCCCUAACUGGAUAGGUACUCUGCAGCUUACUUGGUGUGAAGUUACCUUUCCACCCGGGGUAGAGAUUAUGUAGGUACCUUUGGUGUGACAGAAAUCUAACCCACACUUAGCACUGAUUCUAGUCCCAAUGAAACUAUGAGAUGCUCCCGAAUCAAACAGAAUAAGGACGGGUUGAUCACAGAUAGAAAAGGUACUCGUCAUCACUGGUGCGCCCUCUGGAAGUUCAGCAAGGGUGGUGAAGUUCAGCCUGCCUUGUCGGACCUGCACCUUUGGCUUCUUCCCCUUGUUGCCCAGUGUAUGGCUCUGACUGGGUCGUUGAUUCUGGUUGCGGGGGCAGUCCUUGGCGAAGUGUCCUGGGUUCCCGCAAGUGAAACAGCGGUUUCCAGUGACCGGGCGCAGCGGCAUCGGGAGAGCAGGGCGGGGUCCUUGCGGCUGGAAUCCGGGGAAACGAGGUGCUGCCUGCGGUGGAGGUCGAGCAACCCAUCUCCCAGGCUGUGCGGGCGUGCGAGGUGCUUGUGGGGAAACCAUUCUGUACUUCUGGGCAGGCGGGCUGGGUGCCGGCAUUGGGGCCUUCCUUUUCAUGUCGGCCUUGAGGGCCCUCAUGCAAUCUUCCUGGGAAAUGGCCAGGUUCACCAGUUCAUUGUAGGAACCCACUUUGAUGGGAUUCAGCCUUUCCUUGAGCUUCAAACUCAAGCCUCUGCGGAAACGGUCCCUCUUUUUCUCAUCGGAGUCCGCAUGGUAGCCUGCAUAGCGACACAGGUCAUUGAAAGCCUGCGCAUAGUGCAGACAUCGCGGCCUCCCUGGGUGAGAGCCAGGAACUCGUUGAGCUUGCGCUCCAGAAGACCUUCAGGGAUGUGAUGGCCCCUGAACGCCGUCUUGAAUUCCUCCCAACCGACGACGUGGUCGGCCGGCUGCAUGGCAUGGUAGUGAUCCCACCACAGGAGAGCAGAACCACGCAACUACUGCGCGGCGAACCGAACCUUGUUCUCGUCCGGGCAGUAGGCGGUGAGAAGGGAGAACUUGGACUCGAUAGUGCGAAUCCAGGCAUCGGCGUCAAGUGGGUCCUCCGUCUUGUGAAAUAGAGGAGGCUGGGUCCCCAGAAAAUCUUCGUAACGAGCAACAUGGGGCUGUUGAUGGGCCCUUCCUCCCUGAGGCUGCUGCUGCUGCUGCCCCUGAGCGAUGUGCCUCAACAGCUCGGUCUGGGCUGCCAAGAUCGACUCGAGGGUGGUCGGAGGCGGAGGUGGGGGAGGCACCUCGCUGCCACUGGGAACGGAGCCGGAGCGUGUGCGAUGCGCCAUCCUUGGGCGAGCCAAAACCUUAUCCCCGGGGUCUCACUAAUUCCGACCUCUGGUGCCGGGGUCGGGCGAAACGGAGCUUCUCAACACGGGAUCGGACAAAACGGAGCCUUUCAUCCCGGGGUCGGGCGAGGCGGAGACCUGCCGCGAGGGGUCGGGCGCGUCCGACCUCGCGACUCGGGGUCGGUCAACUUUGGACAGGCCCACAGGAGACGGGUGUGUGGUCACAGCACCAAAACCCACACAACUUGGCAUUCACGGCGCGUCGCAAAGGGUCAAAAGUCGAGUCAAGAGUGAAAGAAAAACAGGAACUGCUUUCACCAAGAUCAUUUCAUUGCUGGUCUUAAAAUAUAGGAGGAGUACUCAACUCAAGGCUAACCUAUUACAUCAUUGGCCAAAAAUAUAGGUCGUCGAGGAGUACAAUCAAAAAUAAAAUAGAACCGCUCAACCUAGUUUGUUAUAACUAGAAGUCGUCGAGGUUGCCCACGGAGGCAAAGCUAAGGACCGGAGAGUGAGCAUCACCAACUGGAGGCUGCGGUGAGGCAUUCUCAUAGUCCAUGCUUGAAAAGCCUUCGAUCUCCUCAGGCUCCUCCUCCUGGGCCAUCGGCUCAUCCAGCUGCACCUCUAAGGCGUGGAUGGCAUUAAGCUCAUCGUGAUGCUCCUGCAGGUGCUCAUUGGCGUUCGCCAGCUCCAUGUUCACAUCAUAGAACUGGUCAGCCAAGAUCUCCAUAUCGUGAUCCAUAUCCACAAUCUCUUCCUCCAAACGAGUAAUCUUGUCCUGCAUCUCAGCAAUCUGAACAUCCUUCUGUACCAGCUCGAGCGACUGGUCCACCAUGCCACUCUGCACGGUAGACAAGGCAACCUGGUUGGCCACUGCCAUCCCAAUCACCAUAGCCAUCGCUCGGCUCUGCAGCUCAACCAUCCUGUAGAACACAUUCAGGCAACGAGCUGAAACAAAAAUCGUGCACUGAGGAUCCAUAAGCCCGAGCAAGUCCAUAUGCUCCAUACGAUCCAACCAGUCCGGGUCCCUCGUACCCCGGGCAGGGAACAACCCAAUCGGGUCUAGCAUGAUCUCAAGAGGGUGUGCCCAGCAAAACUGGGUCAAGGUCUGCAAGGCUGCGAACUCCCAGGCGUCGUGGAGCGUGUGUCCCUCAGCCACUACCUCCAACAGCGACAACGGUGGCUGAUCCGGAGGCGGGGGUACCCGCACGUGUAUGCGGCUCCGCGGAAUCCCGUGGUCCUGGUACGCACGGCCCGCAUAAACCGGCGGCGACUGGUACCCGAAAGAGCGCAGGGUGUCCCACAACACAGUUGGAAAACCCUCGUAGUGAAGGCACCGUGAGUAGGUGGUGCCCUCCGUACCGACUGCCACGUGCACGGGCUGCGCCAUCUGUAACCAAGGGUCACGUGAGAAAUGGGGUUAACACUUGGAAAUCAAACAGAUUUCUGGCAGUUAGAGAAAAGCUCAUAACUCAGCAAGUAUUCCUCCAAAAUUUCUCAAAUUUUACCAGCAUGUUCUUUAGAUAGUGGGUAACAAGUUUGGUAUUCAAAGGUAGGGCUAGAACAGACCUAACAAGGUGAUAAUCUCAGAUUCCCAUUAAGUAUACCUGCUGGAACUCUUCAGACCGAGUCAAGAUAAACUGAAUACAUCUUCCAAACCAGAGACUUAACAAAACCGAAACUCUACCAGUAAGUCCUUCACUAAGUUCUAAAAAACUCUGCUUAAAGGACUCCUCGCAGAAAAGGUCCUUAAGGUGGUCGAAAUAGCAGAAACUCCGUUGGUGUGCACUUUGGGCUAACAGCCAACAGGGGGUCACCAAACUGAUCACAACUCUCAACCCAAAUGGUAGUACCUUGAGGCAGUUUUACUUGGGAGUUUUAACACAACUUUCUUAUACAAAGUUUCUGGAGUUAGCAUGGCGGAAAAAGGACAGCUAGACAAUCCUUAACGCGGUGCAUUACUUUUUACGACGUACUCGAGUUUGGUUUUAUUUCCUUAGGUUGUGAUUUUUAUUUCUUAAUGCAUGCACGUCCUAGUCGUCCUCUCAACCAAAAAUAAUUUCCAAAAACCUUUGGACUUACGUGGUCAGUGCCGGUGGCAAGGCAACAAUACGGCUCUCACUAUAAUAGCUAGUCGAGUUACUAGGCCUCGUUUCGAACGCAACGUUUGUUAGUGUACCUGCAGAAAAACACAACACAGCUUGAACCUUCCGUGCCAGCACUCAUGAAAGCGUCCACAAUCAUUACCGUUCACUAUAGAAAUGGCACCCAUGCGUUUAACACUGCAUGGACAGUGCAACAACCGUGGAAAUAGGUUCCUUUGAAUAGAAUCCUAUAACCCUUCGCAUUCUCGUGAUGCAGAAUCAUGCACACGUGUAACAAACGUGGGCGAACAACCGUGACGAUAGGCUCGUUGGAAUCGAACCAUACCAUCCUUCGCAUGUAUUAACAUACGGAACCUGCGCACGUAUAAUAGAUGUGGGCGAAACAACCGUGAUGAUAGGCUCGUUGGAAUCGAAUUCCCAUCACCCUUCGCAUACUCGCGAUGCGGAUUUCGGCACACGUAUGAUAGACAUGGCAACAAGUGCUGGAAGUUAGAAGAUAACCAAUAACUAUUAGCCACCUUAAAAAUAACCCCAAAAUCCCCUAGGGCUCCUCGAACUAAACUCAUCCUUAGCGAACUUACGAAUUUCUCAAUUUUACUUCUUCCAAAUUUUAGUUGGAAAAAGAGUUUUAAGGUUUGUUGUUCUCCGUACUGUGCUUCGAGCUCUGAUACCAGCUGUGGCGGAACUGCCCAAAUUAACCUGACUAAAAUGCAUUGAAGUCGCCUGACAUGCGAUUAUGCACUUUAAGCAAGUCAACUUGGUCGACCGUCGGAUUUCCUCCGAUAAACCACAUAAACAGGAUCGAGAAGCAUCGCUCACGCGAAGGUGAGUAGCACAGAUGACAACAUAGUUCAACAAUUUAUUACAUCAGAGUGUUUGAAAUUCAAACUGAAAUUUGCAUGGUUCGAAGUCAAAGGAAAACAGCGGAAACUAAACGUCGAUACAUGACAUCACGACGGAGCCGAUCAUGACAUCAAAAAAUUUCUUCCUUCGCCAUCCGAGGAAGGAUCCCACUCGACGGUCCAGCCUGGAGGAAGCUGGGUCGGCCAAGUGGUACCAACACCCAAACUAUUGACAUUACCUGAAAAAGAUUAGCCACAACAAGGCUGAGCAACUAGUACUCAGCAAGACUGACCCGUCGGAAAGACAUGACCGAGACCUAGACAUGCAAGGCUUUCUGGCUCUGGGGUUUUCUUUGCCAAAAGCGUCUAAAGUCAGUCCUUAUUUUCAACAUUUUAGCUCAUGUUAUAUGUUCUUUAUCCAUUCUAGAUUAGCAACUUAUACUAAACAAACAUGGUUUCCAAGCAAUUACUUAACAAGCAUCAAGAUUAAAAUCAUCAUCAUGUUCCAUCUUUACUCAGUGCAAAAUAGCGAUCUAGUAGUCCCAAUCUGUGAGAGGCAGAAAAUCGAUUCGAAUUUAUUUACCAUGCAUGGCAAACCUAAUCUCACGACAUCCACGCACCACGAAGGGUCGCUUCAUUUGUCAGCCGUCCCCAUCGAUCCCUUAGGCACGUGUCAGGGCCAACUUCCUUUGGCAUGCAAUGCUCCACAGUCCUGGCCUAUUGCUGCACUGUGACCGCACUUGCACCCACAUGAUGCACCAUGGGAACGACGUUCCAAGGACAGCCGGAGGGUAUGCCACGCCCCAGUUCAAUCAGGUACUAGGCUUCCUCAUCUCAUACUAGGUAUGAGAUUAGUACUUUCAAACACUUGAUCACGAAGGCCGACACGUUUCGACCAUAGUUCAUUUUCAUUUAGACAGACGGGGCAAUCCACCAAGUAUCGAACACAAGCCUGACCCCGUCCGUCGUCCUUAUAGUUGCGACAUAUCUGAAACAUUCAACUCCUAUAACUCGCGAGUGACAGGAGAUCACUCGACUUUUACCGAAACCUAUUAAGCAAUGCAACUACUCGGCCUUAGCAACUAGUAUUCAAAAACAAGGUACUAAGUUUAUGCAUCUAAGGUUCCAUUACAACUCCUCGAAACGUAAAUGCGCAAUCAAGUAAUCAAUAAUAUUGCAUGAACUCAAGAUAGGAAUUUAUGCUCCGGGGCUUGCCUUCAGGAAAAGCUUGCGGGUCCUCGGGGUCUUGCUCCGGUUCGGGCUCUCCUUCGAAGGGAUGCAGUUCCUCGGCGGGGUCUUCUUUCGGCGCCGGGUGAAGCUCGUACAUUCCGUCGGCGAGAUUCAACUCUACACGGAAAUGCAAUGCAGAGGUUAAACAUUUUAGAUGGUUAUUUCAACACACUCAUGUUUUAACACGGACACUUUGCUACAGGAAAGGUGGGGGAGUUCAACUUCUGUUGGUGGAGAACAGGAUGAGAGGGUCGGAUUGGGGGAAACUUAGGGUCUGACCCUCAGGUUUAAGGAAAAAUCGUACCGAGGUCCUCAGACUCAACACAGAGGAAUCCCCGAAAUUAUUUCAUCGAUACCCUCAGGUCAAAGAAAAAGUUACAACCGAGCCCUCGGGCGAGGCGGAGAAAGGGUCGGCGAAACUUGGCAGGGUCGGGCGAGGCGAAAGGAAAAAGGUCGGGCGAGACGAAAAGAAAAGGGGUCGGGCGAACCGAAACAAAGGGGUCGGGCGAAAUGAAAAGGAAGGGGUCGGUCGAGACGGAACACAAGGGGUCGGUCGAGACGGAACACAAGAGGUCGGUCGCUUACCUCCAGGUCUACCGGUGAAGCCUUGGGGCCGAACAGGAGUAGGCUGGGGUGGGAAGUCGUACGCGCUAAGGCUUGGGCAGCGGCGAGACUUCGACGGUGGUCCGGCAGCGGCGGUGCUUCUUGCGGACACCAGCAAGCUCGAGUACCGCGCGGAGGAGCGGAUGGCUGGUGUGUUGGGAGAAACGGCUUGAGGGUGGCGGCGAAGUCGCCGGAGUGUGGGGGUGGUGCAAAAGGGGUGAGCUCCACGGAAGCUCAGCGGCGGCGCGGGGAGAAAGCGGCGGCGCAGGUGCGGGCGGUGGCAAGGGGUGGCAUUGCUGGUGAGGGGGUUCCCUUUUAUAGGGCCGGGGUGGCGCGGAGGGUCGAGGCGGGGCUCCGGUGGGGAAAGGAUAAGGCCGGGAGCGGCGAGUGCACGGGCAAGGCGGCCAUUGGCCGGCGACGCCAUUGGGUAGAGGAGGCGGAGCUCUAGGUGGUCUUCGGCGGCGAUUGGCCUUGGGCGGUGCGCGUCUGGGGCUUCCGGUCUGUCGGGCGGGCGAGGCGGAGAGCUACCGUGGGGGUUGGGCGAACGGGCGGAGGCGCGGGAUGUCGAGGGCGUGUUAGCUUUCUUGGCGAACGGGCGGAACAGGGUUGGCGGAGCAGAGCCGUGGCAGGCGGAAGGCGGCACGCGCGUGGCCGGCGGUUGGCUGGCCCGUUCGCUCCGUCUUGUCGCAGGCGCGGGUUGGGCGCCGUGGCUCUCGUCCUGUCGCUGUCGUGCUGGGGAUAGGGCGCUGGCGAGCUGCCGGUGGCCGCUAGAUUUUUCUCACUAUGAAUAUAAUUCAUAGCAAUUACUUUGGAGUUUUUCAGCUUUCUAACAGAUUUAAGCCUCCGCUUCACAUGCCUCGAGGACUUCAUAUUAUCCUUAGUACUCAUAACUUUGAUCAAUACCGUUUGGUUAUCAUAGUACAUAAGGAUUGCCGGAACUGGUUUCUCCACCAGUGGCAAGUCCAUGAGUAGCUCUCUUAGCCACUCGGCCUCAACAGUAGCCGUGUCAAGUGCUACAAGCUCAGCUUCCAUGGUUGACCACGUCAAAAUGGUCUGUUUACACGACCUCCAUGAAACUACAGCACCUGCUAGUGUAAACAUAUAGCCACUCGUGGCUUUAAUUUCAUCCGCAUCAGAAAUCUAGUUGGAAUCACUAUAUCCUUCCAAUGCAGAUGGAUAACCAGUAUAGUGAAUUCCAUAUUCGAUUGUACCUCUCAUGUAACGUAGCACUCUCUCUAGUGCCUCCCAAUGAUCCUUCCCUGGAUUGGAAGUUAAACGACUUAAUUUGCUCACAGCAAAAGAUAUGUCGAGACAUGUUGCACCAGCAAGAUACAAAAGGGACCCAAUUAUUUGUGAAUAUCUCAAAUGGUCCAUCCCUUCAUCUUUAUUUUUCCUUAGCUUUACACUAGCAUCGUAGGGUGUAGGGGAUACUUUUGCAUUUUCAAAGCAAAAGCGACAAAAUAAUUUUUUCACAUAAUGAGAUUGAUUUAGAAUAAUCCCAUUCUCAUUUUUGGUCAACUUAAUAUUUAGGAUAACACUUGCUUCUCCCAGAUCCUUCAUGUCGAAGCCUGAAGAUAAGAAUGAUUUGACCUUCAAGCCCACUGCACACCGAAUUCGAAGGUCGACAAGGCGCCAUAGCAAGAGAUUCAGCACAGCGAGUGGGAAGACGAGCGUGUAACAGCGUCCAUUCAACCAGGACAUCUCCUGGUGUUAUAGACCUUCGUAGUGCAUCAGUUUCCCCAUCAAACAGCCUCAUCAAGCAGUAGAAACUGCCAAUUUGAACGAUAGAAACGGCUUCCAUCAAAUUGUUGAAACUGACACACCUUAUUGCUGUUUAAAACGGCAAUUUCAAUCACAUUGAAUUGCCAUUAGGCUCAGCAUAAAAAAAAUAAUAACUGCACAAACAAUAGUCACAACUCACGCGAUUUUCCACGUGAAAAUGUGCGUGAGCUUCAUGUGCGUGUAGCAACAAUCUCCUUCUCUCUCAUUUGCAUCUAUUUUGCAUAGAGAGGAGACUCCCAUAUUUAAGCAAGGCAACCUCUCCUUGAAUUAGCAAUAUAAGACUAAAGGUUGUGUAUGCUUUGGAAUUUUCUAAUUGGGCCACAUAUGGGCCUAAAUCCAAGACGGUGAAGGUUCUUCUAUCUCAACUCAAGGUGACGUUUAUAGCCUCGGCAUAUUGCUUCUUGAGAUGUUUACUGGAAGGAGCCCAACGGAUGAGAUGAGAUAUUCAAUGAUUCUUUGGAUUUGCACAAGUUUUCAGCGAAUGCUCUUCCAGAGAGAAAACGGGAUAUAGUUGAUCCGACAAUAUGGAUGCACACAGAUGCCUAUAACAGCACUAUAAGAAGUGGAAUUAAGAAUUGCUUGCUUUCUGUUGUUUGUCUUGAAAUAUCAUGCUCGAAGAAACAACCUAGGGAGCAGAUCCCGAUUCAGGAUGCAGCCAUUGAGAUGCACGCUAUUAGAGAUUCGUAUCUCAAGUUUGCCAGAUCUCUUUUGGUGGAGCAUGGAGUAGUAGCAACAACUCACAGUGAUUUCCCACAACAGUGAAUACAUAGGACUGAAAAUGGGCAAGAUGUUGCAGGUGAUCAGUUUACCUGAAAUAACUGAAGAUGUAUGAAGCUUCAGCUUUAUAAUUCGUCCAUGCAUUUGUUUGCAUCAGAUAUAUGGAAGUAUAAAAUAAGUUUAGAAAAUGUUUCAAAAUAGAUUAGAUCCAGAGGUUUUACUUGUCGUCUGUAUGACACAUUUUUUGUAGAGAAUUCAGUAAUAUGUAUGAUUCAUAAUACAAUCAAUGCUCUACAAAUUUCAAUAGCACAAUUGGAAUAAAAAGCUCAUUCAUUGAUUAUGUUGCUCUAGGUAACUCAACUUAUUGUGAUGUUCACUGUAGAUUUCUCCAUGGUCCAAACGACCUUUGUGAUCAGUUAUGUUUAUGCAUUUUGUAGAAUUGUAAAGUCUUUCCCUAACCUGCUGACGUAUCAGCCGGAGCAUGAGAAGGGGGUGCACCAAAUAUGGGAUGAGAUGGAGAGGAGUGAAUCAGGCCCAGAUCAACGAUCAUUUACUAUUAUGGUUUAUGGUCUUCAUUCCCAAGAAAAGCUUGAUGAGGCUCUGCAAUAUUACACAACAAUGAAGUCAAGAGGGUUGAUCCCUGAACCAAGGACCAAGAUACUGGUGAAAGCUAUACAUAUGAAGAAAGAUGGGGCUGUCACAGAAGAUCAGUCUGCAAAUAUGACAGGGAAGAAUCUAAAACUGGAUCCACGAUCUAGCCUAUUCCAUGUUCAUAAAUAGUUUGCUGUCAGAUCUUACUUCUAUAACCUCAACAGAGGAUUGCUGGGCACGUAUUAUGUGUCAAAAGAAUCUCUUCUACCAGUGUCCAGAUCACAAUGGCCACACCUUGGGCUACAAUAAAUCAUCAGAAAAGUGUAUUGGCAUCAUGUAUCCCAGAAAGUUUUGCUCAGACUUUCAAUGCCAGGGUAUGUUUUUCAUGUCUGAUAUGGAUCAAUUAUAUUGCAAGUACUGUAUUACACGCUCGUAUUAUGAAGGUUAUGUGAAAUAUGACAGAUGUUUGUUUAUUCAUCUGUUAUGCAUGGCUGUGUCUACUGUCUAGCUGUUGGCUUGUUGCCAACAUAUGCAGCAGCAGGUAGCUUCAGCCGCUCAGAAGCCCAAAUGAAGGAUGGCCCAGGCAGAAUAGCUAUGUCUAGACCCAGAAAGCUUAGGACAUGUCUUGCCAGCCUGCAGUUUUGUACUCGUAGCACCAACCAUCUCCGGGUUCUGGCCGGUUAUAUACAUGGUCUGGACUCUGGAAUGGGCAUCCGCUGAUCGAUUGAAACCUUGAGCUGCUUCCGUGUUUGUCUUUUACCAUCUAUAUAUUAUGGUUAGUCAACGGCAUGCAGUACACCCAUGCAUAUGAUUGCAGUAGGAUGACAUGGCGCGACCAGAACCCUUCUUUUGCCAGUUUUAGAUUCUUAUACACGGCCAACUGACGCAGCAGGGAGUUGCAUGCUAAGCAGUUCAGCGUAGGUGGUGAGUUCUCAACUCUGAUAUGGCUUAUGGAAGAACACUGUCACGGUGUUACCUAGCCGGUUGGAGGCCAACCUCUUACUAGGGACAGCAAUGGCCCUGUCCGGCCACUGUUUCGUGGCUGGUAUUAUUACCCCUAUGCAGUGAAUAUGACAUGUGGAUCUAUGUGUAUAUUAUGUCGUCAAAAGAACAUUAUAUGAACCGUUGAUCCACCUUUGAUUCUAUUAAUGUGUCAUGGUCAAUUGAUGUCAAACUCUAUUAUCUUCAAGUCUUAUUGUAUUGAUAAAAUCACGAUGCUGCUACUGCCAUUUUGAUGUUUAUAAAAGGGUAUUGAGAACCUGGUGGGUAUCCAUUGGAUGCGCAGGGUUGAUGGUGGGGAAAAAUGAGUGUAAAGGACAGGGAUGCAGUAUUUAGAAAGAUGGGGCUGCCACAGAAAAUAGUCUCCAAGUAUGGCAGGGAAGAAUCUAAAACUGAAUCCUUGAUCAAGACUGUCCCAUAUUCAUAAAUAGUUCACUGACAGAUCUUGCUUCCAUAUUCUGAACAGCUGAUGCUGGGCACAUAGGAGGUUAACCGGUCAGCGGAUCAAAGAAAAUCCACAAUGGCCUCAUCUUGGGUUAGAGACAAUCAUCGGUAAAGAAUCAUAUUGCCGGAUAAGGAUAUCUGUGAUUGGUGGGUGCAGAUCCAUGCUCAUUCAAGAAACACAUGAUUCUUUACGGAUGAUCAUCUCUCAGCACACCCUGCUGAUAAGGUUAUCUGAGAUUGGUGGGUGCAGAUCCUAGAAACAAGCUAGGGCUGAAUGCGCCGCUGUACUUGGAUGUUGUGGUGACACCGUAAUGAUUGUGUGUUUAACGGAGUUUCCCAUAGUGACUAGCGUGCAGGCCGUCCUCGUAUUUGAGAAAAAAAUCAAUGGGCGAAAUGUUUUCACCCAGGUAAUUGUUGCAUUGUAUGAAUAGGCUUAGAUACCUGGUUACUGUGACACAAGAAGAUUUAUCAUAUCUAUCUAUGAAUUAGUGUUAAAUCUCCUACAUAAAUAUCUUCUCUUAUCUCACUUUAUGUAUAUAUAUGACACAGAAGCACAUGUAUAUCGGCAUUGUAGAGAUAGAGAUGAGAGAGAAGCUUAUCUGCUUUUUGGAGAUAAAUAUUCAAAUUACUAGUGUAUGAGAGGGAUAGAAUUAUUCUAUCAUAUUGUUUAUUCAACAUCUAAAAAGAUUCCAUGUUUAGUCAUCUAUAUCGGCGUUGUAGAGAGAGAGACUAGUGUUCAUCUGGUUGGAAGGAUGAGAGAGAGAGGAGAGAGUUUGGAUGAGAUAGAGAGAUAGUGUUCAGCUGGUUGGAAGGAUGAGAGAGAGAGAGAGGAGAGUUUGGAUGAUAGAGAGAUUAGUGUUCACUUGGUUGGAAGGAUGAGAGGGAGAUGAGAGAGUUCGGAUGAGGAGGUAGAGAGUUCGGAAGAGAGAGAGAGGUGAGAGUUCGGAUGAGAGGUGUGAGAGAGGUGAGAGUUCGGAUGAGAGAUAAAGUAGCUUAUAAGGAUGAGAGAGAGAAAGCGGUAUUCAGCUGGAUGGUGGAGACUUCAUAUAUUACUAAUAAUGCAUCCAAACAACAUUUAAAAUUUAAUUCUAAGAAAAACUUUCUCGGUAAAUCAAAACAAGAAAAUUCAAUUGAAUCAAAUUCUACGGAAUCCAUUUCCUAUGAAAUCUAAUUGCUAGAAUAUGAUUCAUGGAAUGAGUUCCAAUUCUAGAGAUCCAAACGGGCCCUAAGAGAAUUGUAGUGAUCAACUCCCAAGUUGCAAUAUAUCCUAGGAAAUAGGUGGUUAUGAGGAUGAUACCUGCAGACAAUACUUUUAAUCCCUCAAUUCUUACAGAGAAUUGCACUAUCAACUGCAUUUUCAUUUGUGCCACGCUGCUCAGCUAUAAAAAACGGGGCAAAUCGACCAAAAUAAAUGAAUAAACCACAUGGUUUAGACUGGUGGCAUAUGUAUGUCUGAUGAGUUUAGAAUCCCAACAGACCUCUGUUUGCUUAUCCAACAGGAGGGAAAAAGUUUACUUACUAAAUCAGCUUUGCAUGUCAGGCUGCAAUUGUUAGAGAGUAGAAUUGGGUAAUUUGUGAACAUAAUUGAAUCAAAGUUUUGUCUCAGACUAGUAAUAGAAAAUGGUGAUGCUCCAUAGCUAGAACAACACGUUCCUACACUAGUUUAAAAAAUCCCCUGAAAUUGGGAACAAUGGUCAAGCCCAAACCAUACUUGGAACUUGGAAGGCCGCUGGCGGAUGUCAAAGUCAAAAACAGAAGCAGACAGCGACGUCUCACCAGAUCACGAAUCAGAUGCGAUGCAUAUACAUGUUGCAGGCAUUAGCACGCAUCCCUUAGGAUUAAACAAUUCAGCAAGUAGCUCCCCUGCUGACCAAGAAAAGCAAGCUCUGUCUCGCAGCAAGCUCUUCAAUACGCUCCAGCCCAGCUCUACCAUGGCAUUGGCAAUGCGCGUCAUGAGCUUGCUUCCUGCCACCAUCGCCGUGAUGAUCGCAGCGGCCUCCUGGGGAGCGCACGGCGGUGCCAGCGACGAGGCCAGCGCGCUGCUUGCUUUCAAGGCUGAGCUCGCCGGCAGCGGCUCCGGCAUGCUUGCAUCCUGGAAUGGCACCGCUGGCGUCUGCAGCUGGGAGGGCGUGGCGUGCACCAGCGGCCAGGUGGUGGCACUGAGCCUGCCCUCUUAUGGGUUCGCCGGAGCCCUCUCCCCGGCCAUUGGGAACCUCACUUUCCUGCGGACCCUGAACCUGAGUUCCAACUGGUUCCAGGGGGAGGUCCCAGCAAGCAUCGGCCGCCUAGCGCGUCUGCAGACGCUUGAUCUGAGCUACAAUGCGUUCUCUGGUACGCUUCCUUCCAACCUCAGUUCCUGUGUCAGCUUACUGCUGUUAGAUCUCAGCAGUAACCGGUUCCAUGGGCGUAUCCCUGUUGAGCUUGGAGACAAGCUAACAAGUCUUCAGAAGUUCUCACUGGGCAACAACAGCUUGACGGGUGCCAUGCCAGGAUUACUAGGUAACCUGUCAUCCCUGAACUACCUUGAUCUGAGAAAAAACCACCUCGAGGGUCCGAUCCCACAUGAACUCGGCAGCAUGGGCGGCCUGCAGGUCCUUUUACUCCAUGACAACAGACUCUCCGGUGUGCUUCCACACUCCCUGUACAAUCUGUCCUCACUGAAAAAGUUGGGGGUAGGAGACAACAUGCUGUCUGGAACCAUCCCUGCUGAUAUCGGCGAUAGGUUCCCCGGUAUGGAAGCUCUUGACUUUUCUAGCAACCGAUUCAGUGGAGCUAUCCCACCUUCGCUCGGCAACCUCUCUGCUCUCACAAAACUAGUCCUUCAAGAAAAUGGUUUUAUUGGAUAUGUGCCUUCUGCUUUGGGAAAGUUGCAAAGUCUUACUGCCCUUUUCUUGGGUGUUAACAGGCUAGGAGCAAACGACAGUCAAGGGUGGGAAUUCAUCACUUCACUGGCAAACAGCUCCCAGCUUCAGGUUCUUGUUCUCGGCAACAACUCUUUCAGCGGGCAACUGCCUAAUUCAGUCACAAACCUGUCAUCAACUCUGCAAGGUCUUUAUUUGGGAGACAAUAUGAUUUCUGGGAAUAUUCCAAUAAACAUCGGAAAUUUGGUUGGUCUUACAGUAUUUGUGAUGGGAAAUACUUCUGUAUCUGGACAGAUUCCAGAGAGCAUUGGUCAGCUAAGAAACUUGGGUGUGUUAGGCCUUUACAACACUAGCUUGUCAGGCCUCAUACCUUCGUCACUAGGAAAUCUUACACAGUUGAAUAGGCUUUAUGCAUACUAUGGAAACUUAGAGGGGCCAAUUCCAUCAAACUUGGGGAACUUAAAGAAUGUGUUUGUCUUUGAUCUCUCAACAAAUCGACUCAAUGGUUCAAUUCCUAUAGAGGUUUUAAAACUUCCUCAACUUUCCUGGUACUUAGACUUAUCAUAUAAUUCAUUAUCCGGGCCACUUCCAAUUGAGGUUGGUACCAUGGUGAAUCUUAACGAACUGAUUCUGUCUGGAAACAAGUUGUCAGGCACCAUACCAGCUAGUGUUGGGAACUGUAUAUCGUUGGUACGGCUGCUGCUCGAUAACAACUUAUUAGAAGGAAGCAUACCUCAAUCUCUGAAGAAUAUAAAAGGUCUUGCAUUACUGAACCUAACAAUGAAUAAGCUAUCUGGUAGUAUUCCUGAUGCCCUUGCUAGCAUUGGCCACCUGCAACAACUGUAUCUUGCACACAACAACUUGUCAGGUUCCAUCCCCAAAGUUCUACAGAAUUUGACAUUGUUGGCAAAACUGGAUUUGUCCUUCAAUGAUCUGCAAGGCGAAGUGCCAAAAGGGGGUCCUUUUGCAAAUGCAACUCACUUGUCAAUUGAUGGAAAUGAUGAGCUUUGUGGCGGAAACCCUCAACUUCAUUUAGCUCCGUGCUCCACAGCAGCUGCGGAGAAGAACAGAAGGCGAAUGUCAAGGUCACUUAUGGUCACCGUAGCGUCAAUCUGCGCACUUCUAUUCUUAGGUUUAGUAGUUUGUCUUAUCCAUUUGAUCCACAAGAGGCUCAGACAAGGAAAGGAAAAUCAACUCAUUCCCACAGUAAUUGAUGAACAGCACGAAAGGGUUUCAUAUCAAGCAUUAGCAAAUGGGACUGACCAUUUUUCGCAGGUUAAUCUGCUCGGACAAGGAAGCUAUGGUGCAGUUUAUAAGUGCACUUUACAAGACAAGGGAAUUACCGCAGCUGUAAAGGUAUUCAACGUGUGGCAAUCUGGGUCUACUAGAAGUUUUGUGGCUGAAUGUGAGGCACUGCGAAGGGUGCGCCACCGAUGUCUC